ACUUCGUCCCACUGUCGCGAAAUCAAUUUUCUCGUUAAAAGUCGCCGUUUAACUGCUGGAUCGAUCUCGACGGCCCGAGUUUGCAUCAUGCGGUAAACUAAAUCAUUCCCGAAGUUUCGAUCGAUGAGAAUGUCCUCGUUAGUGGCCCAUACAUGGACUUUGUCUAGUCCAGGUCCAGAUGAACUCCGGCCCAAUACUGUUGCAGACCGGCCCUUUAUAACCAGGGGUUGUCUUUGUCUUCCUCAAUCUCUCUUCGUCUCCCCGUUCCUUUUCCUUCCUCUCUCUCUUCAUCAGUUCAUCUCCUUUUUCUUUCUCCACUCCAUUCCUCCAUUCUCCACUCUUAUCCUAAUCCUUCCAUCAAUCCUAACGAGCCAAUCACCGGCGACGCGCACCACAUUCAGAUCUCUUCUGCUCGUCUGAUCUGCUUUCUUUCUUUUGUCGAUUUCAAGUACCGGAGGCUGUGGGUCAUCCAAAUUCGAGUAUAAUUAUUUCUACGUAGAGCAGCCAUCCGAACUAGAACUUGAAAGUGGAAUUGAUUCGGUGGUUAUAUCAAGAAAUCGAAUGGAACCCUAGCCUGAACUUGAAGAAGGUAGAUUCUUUUCAUCUGUUUGUGCAACAUNNNNNNNNNNNNNNNNNNNNNNNNNNNNNNNNNNNNNNNNNNNNNNNNNNNNNNNNNNNNNNNNNNNNNNNNNNNNNNNNNNNNNNNNNNNNNNNNNNNNNNNNNNNNNNNNNNNNNNNNNNNNNNNNNNNNNNNNNNNNNNNNNNNNNNNNNNNNNNNNNNNNNNNNNNNNNNNNNNNNNNNNNNNNNNNNNNNNNNNNNNNNNNNNNNNNNNNNNNNNNNNNNNNNNNNNNNNNNNNNNNNNNNNNNNNNNNNNNNNNNNNNNNNNNNNNNNNNNNNNNNNNNNNNNNNNNNNNNNNNNNNNNNNNNNNNNNNNNNNNNNNNNNNNNNNNNNNNNNNNNNNNNNNNNNNNNNNNNNNNNNNNNNNNNNNNNCUUGAUGUACCGGGGUCGACCCAAUCAACCUUUGGGUCGACUCAAUCCACACUUUGCUGCAUUCUCAAGGUUAGAUUCAUUCAAAUGAACAAGGUCAUGUAUCUAUUUUCAAUUAACCAAAUAUACUGAGAGUAAUAAACUUAUAAAUGAAGUAUCAAUUUAACUUAUAGCAUACUCUAGAUAAUUGCUUGUUAAUCAUCAAAAUAACACUAUCAUCCUCAGCCACAGAGGACUGUAGCAAGGCAGAGAACUACCAUUCCAUUUAAAGAGAUCAAGCAUUUAUUCUCUGCAAACUUGCUUUCAACGAAAAAGAAGGAAGAGCGCCAUUAACUCCAUCCAACAACCUCUUCCCAGCAUUGAAAGAAGUCUCCUCCUACAUUCAAGUCGAUCAGACGUUCCAGAGGAGACUCAAAGUUCAAGAAGCCUUAUUCUACUCCAACGCAAAAAUGUUUGAGGGCUCUUAACUUCUCUCUAGUUUAUAUUGUAGCAAAUCUGCUUUUUAAGAAGCUCAGUUUUUCUGUUUGUUUCUUAUUCUUUCCAUAUUGUCUUUGCUUGAUUCAAUCCCCCGAUUGAAUCAAGGGUGUAGAGGUUGGUUGGUGAGCCGAGUGUAAAACUAACGUAUAGGGGUUCGAUUGUGAUCCCGGAAAAACAAUCAGGGUUGGUUCUAAUCGGUGAGCCUGGGAAAACCGACCGAGUUCGUUGUGAGCUCGUAAAACAACAAGUUUGGUUGUGAGCUUGGAAAACAACCGGCUGUAAUCCAAGGAGUUAUAGUGAAUUCCCAAGUGAGACUUGGGGAGUGGACGUAGGAGCAAGGGUUAGNNNNNNNNNNNNNNNNNNNNNNNNNNNNNNNNNNNNNNNNNNNNNNNNNNNNNNNNNNNNNNNNNNNNNNNNNNNNNNNNNNNNNNNNNNNNNNNNNNNNNNNNNNNNNNNNNNNNNNNNNNNNNNNNNNNNNNNNNNNNNNNNNNNNNNNNNNNNNNNNNNNNNNNNNNNNNNNNNNNNNNNNNNNNNNNNNNNNNNNNNNNNNNNNNNNNNNNNNNNNNNNNNNNNNNNNNNNNNNNNNNNNNNNNNNNNNNNNNNNNNNNNNNNNNNNNNNNNNNNNNNNNNNNNNNNNNNNNNNNNNNNNNNNNNNNNNNNNNNNNNNNNNNNNNNNNNNNNNNNNNNNNNNNNNNNNNNNNNNNNNNNNNNNNNNNNNNNNNNNNNNNNNNNNNNNNNNNNNNNNNNNNNNNNNNNNNNNNNNNNNNNNNNNNNNNNNNNNNNNNNNNNNNNNNNNNNNNNNNNNNNNNNNNNNNNNNNNNNNNNNNNNNNNNNNNNNNNNNNNNNNNNNNNNNNNNNNNNNNNNNNNNNNNNNNNNNNNNNNNNNNNNNNNNNNNNNNNNNNNNNNNNNNNNNNNNNNNNNNNNNNNNNNNNNNNNNNNNNNNNNNNNNNNNNNNNNNNNNNNNNNNNNNNNNNNNNNNNNNNNNNNNNNNNNNNNNNNNNNNNNNNNNNNNNNNNNNNNNNNNNNNNNNNNNNNNNNNNNNNNNNNNNNNNNNNNNNNNNNNNNNNNNNNNNNNNNNNNNNNNNNNNNNNNNNNNNNNNNNNNNNNNNNNNNNNNNNNNNNNNNNNNNNNNUGAUAAGUAGACAACAAUGUACCACAUAAGUGAUGACAUAAAUAUCAAAAGUUAAAUGAGAAAUAAAAAAUAUAAAAACUAAUACAACCAGUUAAUUCCUAUAUAAACAUGGACUAAAAUACACACUUAACCUCGACUAAAGAAAGUGGCAUGGUAAAUCAACUCAAGAUUAUGGAGUUAAAAACUUUAUACUCAAAGGUUUCAUCCAGACGAGCUGAUGUGUCUGUACAAAACUGUCAGCUCACUUGUUAGCAUGACUGACCGUGCUCCGUCGUCCGUCGAUGGCCCAAACUGUCAUAAAUUAUAUAAACAAAAGCUAUUAACUAGUUAAUAUUCAUAUAUUUUUUUAUACGAAUAUUGAACAGAAUAAUAGAGGAGUGAGCAAGGUGUAUAGAAGCAAAAAAUUUAUGCUCUCGUAGAAAUAUUUUGCAAAAUUAUUUUCAAUAAAUCCGUCUCAACUUGUAGCAAGGCAACAUAAAGAAAUGAUGAAGAUAAAAAGGGAGGAGAAAUUGGAAAUUUUGAAAUGAAGUCAACUUGGCCAAAAGCAAAAAUUCAAAGAAUGAAGACGUGGAAAAAAAGAAAGAAAGAAAGGAAUUCGAGGGUUUAAAUACUUCUCCAAUAAAUUUGGUUGAGGGAUGUAAUUAGCACAUGCAUGUUCAUGUUGUGCAUGCCAUGCGUUUGGUCAAGCUACACGAGUAUACAUAUUCUUACGAGUUUAAAAUACAAAGGUUCAAUGAGGCCCGGGGCUACUGGAGUUCACUAAGAGCUACACAGAGACCUCUUGUUGAAAUUAUACAGCAACUCAGAAGGUAUUGCAACUUAAAUUGUACUAAUUAACUUGUAAGAAAUUCUUGUGCUUCAAAGAGGGUUUAGAAAAAAAAAGAGGCAUCUCAACAAAUAUUCCAUUGAACACCUUAUAAGUGGAUACCAAGGUGUAGCACUAAUGAUGUAGGCUUAACUAUAGGCCUAGAUAUCCAUAUGGAGGGAGCUGCUGGUGGUGCAUACUUUGAGGAGGACGAGGAAGAUGAAGAAGAAAGGUGAGGUGGCAACGUAAAGGUGGAACAAAGGUGGAGGAGGAGGCAAAAUGGAGAAGAGAAAGAAAGUAAUUUUUUUUAAAUUAAAGUUUCUAUUUGAGUAGCUACAACUUGUCAUGCAAUAGUUAUUUUGAUUGUAAGUCGACCUGCCAUGCCAUGAAAUAGUAUUUAGUUGCAACUCACAAGCAAUUUGAUUUACUAUAUAAUUUAAGUUGCAAGCAUCCAAACAAACGAAUUCAUAUGUAUUUGCAACUUGAGCUGCAUAUAGCUCCAUUUACAUUCAAUAUAGUUUAUUUAAAUCAUGAAUACUAAAAAUUUAAUUUUUUUAUUUUUUAAAAAAAUCUAACGCACGGCUUGCCGUCUUUUCUCAUUCAUUAUAAAUUUUUCUCGGGCGUUUAGAUGUUUUGGGGACUUUAAUAAUCGAGCACGGGCAGAUGAGCAUGAGGCUGGGGCCGCUGGGCUGGAAUAUGUACUACCCUGAGCCACAUAUUACCGGUGAGAACCCUCGUUUAAUGGGCUGUUACGGGCUUCCCUGAUCCCUCUCUCAAUUUUCAAAGCCCAUGUAAACCCAUGCACCACCGCCUCCGUGAAGAGCGAAGACGCAUUCAUAGUUCCGUUCGGAAAAGGCGUUAGGGUUUUAACCCAAGAACAAGAGCACGAGACGGGUCACUUUGGCAUCUUGCCCGCUAUAUAAGUCACUAGUCACUACCCCCUCCGACCGUCCUCUGACGUCUCUCAUACCACCAUCUACCUCCCUACCUCUCCAUCUCUCAUCUCCGCUCCCCCCUGGCCUCCCCUAUCCUUCCCUCCGCCCCCACCCCCACCACACAGAAAGGAUAGGUCUCGGUUAUUUCAUCGCAGCCAUCCACCAUCGCCGCAGCUCUCGAGCCCAUUUCCAAACCCUAGGCUGGUUCUCCUCUCGCAUCCAGUCUAGGGUUCAAGCCUCAGUCUCUCAGGAGCCGUUUGCGAAUCAGGCCUCUUUGUUGCAAAACCCUAAAGUUUCUGGUAUGGAUCUCCAACCCUAUUUGAUUUCCAGUGCGGCUUUAGACGGUAGGCGUUUUGAUCGUUCUUGACGAGGAAUUUGGGUAUUUUUCUUCUUCUUUCCAUCGGAUUUCAUUUUCAUUCACGAUAAUCGUUUCAUUAUUAUGCCAAAUCUGUCGCGCGGAUUGGAUUUUUUGAGCUUGUGUUAUAUUAGGGUUUCGAGACAUUCGCGCGUAGUGUUUGUUCUCAUGGUCUUCUUCAAGUCUCUGAUGGCUUGUUGUUGUUAUUAUUGCUCAUCCACCGGAAUCUGGAAACGUGGAUUGAUAUGGAAAAAGUUGUAGUUAUUUUAUUUUAUUUUUUCAUUGCAACAUGCUUCUUUACUUCGUAUUUGAGUACGAAUUGAUAACUGAAUCCAUAGGCGUUGUUAAUUUUGAUAUGGGUUUGCAUUUCUGACAGUCUUACCCUAUUACUGGAUUGUACUGGAGCCAUUUUCAACGUCGAUGCUGAUAAAACAAACCACGGCCAAUUAGUAUUAUUUGUCUAAUGGAAUCUCGAACCCUAGGAUGAUAUGGACAGAGUUUUAGUUCGUUAAUAUAGUACCUUUUGUUUUCGCCUUGAUUGCGAUAUGAAUUGGAUUUAGUGAUUUGACAAGGUGUUGUUUAUCUUGAUACGUUUUUUUGGUUUUUGUGGCUGUCUCACAUUAUCACCGGAUUGUUCUGUUGUUGAGCUCAAUAUCAAUGCUGAUGACAUAAGUGAUGGCCUGUUAGUAUUACUUGUUUAAUCGAAUCUCGAGCCCAAGAUUGGUGUGGAAGGGGAUGAUGUUAUAUUUGUCCCCUCAAUUUGUUUUUUGUUUGUGAUUAUGGAUACAAUGAAUUGACAAAAUUUAGUUGAACCUGGUACAAUGUUGCUUUUGUUACUUCAUCUUGUUGGUGGAUGAUGCUGUAACUAUAUUCAAUGUCACAGAAGCUGGUUAAUGUAGGCACAGUACAUAGUUUCAUUUUAUUUAUAUGCUGUCCUUCGCCACCAUAUCUGAUAUUUCUUCUCCCCUUACUUACUAUGCAUUAUUGGAGCAAGGAAAAAAGGAAGGUGAUGCCUUGUUUUCUAGUUUUCAAUUGCCUGGAAUGGCAUGUUCAUAUUGAUUAUUAUACCAGUGUCGUAGAUAGGGAGGUAGUCUUUUGUUAGCAUGUGGAAUCUUUCGCAUUCCUGGAAUACGUCUCUAAAACCCUACAAGAAUUCAUUGCAUGAUGUAUUUUAGGCAUGUUCUGCAUUCUUUAGUUAGAUAAUUAUUUUCUUUGCGGGCUAUUAUUCAUUUAUUAUUCAUUUACACUCCAUGGUGAAAUUUGCUCUUGACUUUGUGGUCUGUUGCAUGCUUUUUCUAUUUAGAUUUGUGCUGUCAAUUGGUAGUUACUAGAAAUCUCCAUAUUUGCAGGAAAAAUUCAGUCAUUGGUAUAAUUUGAGCUGGAGAGUUUUUUAUCACCAUGGGAUUUGAUAAUGAGUGCAUACAGAAUAUUCAAUCUCUUCCUGGUGAAUAUUUCUGUCCGGUGUGCCGGACGCUUAUCUAUCCUAAUGAAGCACUACAGUCCCAGUGCACCCAUCUAUACUGCAAGCCUUGCUUAUCCUAUAUUGUGGCUACUACUCAUGCGUGCCCUUAUGAUGGUUAUCUUGUGACUGAAGCAGAUUCCAAGGUCCUGAUGUCUUGCCUGUCCAGUUCAUUCUAAAGUCGGUCUUUGUAAGAACCAAUCUGUUUCACUGAUAGUUUUAUACUAUGAUUUGCAGCCUCUGAUAGAAUCCAACAAAUCACUUGCUGAUACCAUUGGCAAUGUAGCGGUUUACUGUCUCUACCACAGGAGUGGUUGCCAAUGGCAGGGUACUUUGUCUGACUCCAUUACACAUUGCACUGGAUGUAGUUUUGGAAACUCCCCUGUUGUUUGCAACAGGUGUGGAACACAGAUAAUACAUCGCCAAGUCCAAGAGCAUGCACAAAUAUGCCCUGUAAGUCUGAAAGAGGCUUUCUGAAUGUGCUACUAUUUGAAGGAGCAAAUUUGUUUUUCAUGAAUUGAUGUUUAUGCGAUGGUCUGGGUGCAGGGCUUGCAACCUCAAGCACAACAGGUAGAGAAUGCCCAGGUUCAAGCUUCAACAGUGCAGAAUCAAGCUGUUAACCAAGAUACGUCAGUAGCUCCUGCAUCAACAACAUCAACUUCUUCAACAACCCCUGCAUCAGCUGCUUCAACAACUGCUGCCACAACAAUUUCAUCUACUGUUACUCCAACAACUGCUGCUGCAGCAGCCCCUGCUUCUGCUUCUGCAGCUACCCCUGCUACUUCUAGUCAGGGACAAACCCAAGCCAAUGCAACAACCUAUCCACAAGCUGUGACACAGGCUCCAACCCCUGAGCAGUGGUACCAGCAGCAGCAACUGCAAUACCAGCAAUAUUACCAGCAGUAUCCUGGAUACUACCCUUAUCAGCAGCAAUAUCAACAGUAUGGUCAAUAUCAGCCGCAAUUCUACCAACAAUAUUCUCAACCCCAGAUGCUGGUUGCUCCCCAGCAUGCUACUCAAGGACAACAGCAGCCUUCACCUUAUAUGCCGCAGCAACCCCAUAUCCAGCAUCAUCCUCAACAACAGACCCAGCCCCAGCCACAAGCCCAGCUCCAGCCCCAGCCCCAGCCCCAGCCCCAACCACAAGCCCAGCUCCAGCCCCAGCCCCAGCUCCACGCUCCAGCCCCAACCACCAACGCCCAGCUCCAGCCCAGCCCAACACAAGCCCAGCUCCAGCCCAGCCCAGCCCAACGCACAAGCCCAGCUCCAGCUCCAGCCCCAGCCCCAACUCCAAUCCCAGCCUCAACCUCUGCCCCAGGCCCAGCCACACCCCCAGGCAGCCCAGCCGCAGUUGCCACAGCAACAUCUUCCUCAACCACAACAACCACACCCACAGCUCCAGCCUCAUACACAUGCUCAAGUUCCGCAAAUGCAGGCACAACAGAUUCAUGUACCUGCUCAGCAUCCACAUCAUCAUCCCCAAACAACACACCCACAACCUCAGCCUCAUCCCCAAGUGCAACCACCACAGCAGCAUCCAGGACUUCAACAGUCUAUUCCACCGCAACAACAUCCACAACCCCAAAUGCAACAUCCACAAGUCCACCCUCAACACCAGCCCUAUCCACAACCUCAAUCCCAGGCUUAUCUACAUGCCCAUUCCCAACCUCAGUUUCAACAACAGCCUGUGCAGCUGCAACCCCAUCCCCAGUCUCAACCCAAUAUACAGCCACAGCCACAACCAGUUCUGCAGCCACAACCUCAGUAUCCAUCAGCUCGUGCAGUGACAGGACAUCAAUCUUAUCCACAUCCGCAAUCGCUCCAACAAAUCCCACCUGGUGCCCCACAGCAACGCCCUUUGCACAUGCAUCCUCAACAACCUGUUCAAGUGCAGAAUCAGUUUCCAUCCCAACAGCCUCCUCAGAUGCGUCCGCCACAUGGUCAUUUGUCGAUGCAAGUCCAGCAACAGUCAGCUAUGCCUCAUCCUCAAGGCCCUCAUACAAAUCUUCAUCCUUCUCAACAACAAGUGCACCAGCAUCCUGGCAUGCGGCCGCAGGGACCACAGCAGGGUUUGCCUCCAUUACAAGCACAAAGUCAUAUGCAUCCAAGCCUAGCACAUCAGCAGGGGAUGCCCCCACCACAGCAUCUAAUUCAUCCUCAGCAACCUGUGCAUCCUCAGGGCCCACCUUACAUCCAGCAAUCUUUUCCUGCACAGCCCCACUCACAGCAGAGUUUGCCUCAAUCUCAGGGUAUGCCGACUCUUCCAGCUCAGGCUGUAGCUGGCAGGCCGGCUAUGAUGGUAAGUCAUGGAAUGCCACAACAAUCAUUUCAACAGUCUACAGGUGGUCCCACUAAGCUUAUGCAGCCUGACAUGAGCCACAAAUCACCGAGUCAGAAUCAUAUGGGGCGAUCCGCUGCUCAUUUGGCAAUAUUGUCGGAAUUGCAGCCAGGGCCAGUGCAGCAGUCUCAGCUCGCACACUCUGGGAGCCAGGGUACAUUAGUACCUGUAUCAUCUGUUAUGCGGCCAGGGAUAUCAGAUAAAGCAGGUCAUGCAUCUGAGCUGGAGGCAGAAAUGGUUUCAAAAAUUGCUGAAGGGACUGAAGCAAAUAAAUCAGAUCAUGCACAGAUUGAAGCAUCUGAAUCAGCUGAAGUGAAGAUUCCCAGCUCAAAAUCUGCAAUCAAUAAGGAUGAAGUUAUUGGAGAGGGUAAGAAGGAUAUCCAACCUGAUGGAGAUCACAAGAAUAUAUCAGAAUCAGCACGUGUUCAUGGGGAAGGACUUGAGUCACAUGCAAAAGAUGAAAAAGCAGAAGUGCCAGAGAUUAAACUGGUAAAAAAGGAAGAAACUACCAACUUGCCAGAUGUGGGAGCUGAAAGUUCCCAUGUUCUGAAAGAUGUACAGGGAGACAGAGUUAUUCAAAUUCUAGAAGCUGAUCUCAAGGAAAAGUCUGCACAUGUUGAGGGUAGAGAUGCUCAUCUAUCACUGGAUGCUACUGAAACUGUUCAAUCUGGUCAGGUUCCUACUGAGGCUGGACGGCGGGAGUCUUUGGGCUCAGUUUCUCAGAAAACUAGUCAAACUAUUGUCUCCCAAGGCCAUAUCUCUGGAGAUAGUGCUCAUGUACAGUCUCUACAACAAGUGUCAACACCUGGUGGUCUAGAUAGAAGUCAGCUGCAACAGUCGUCACGCCAAAAUGCUUUUUCAGCCAAUGAAAGAGCAUUUCUGCAGCCUGGUUAUCAUGACAGAAAUCCAUCCCAAUUCAUGGGUCAAGGUCCUGGAUCAGGGGUGCUCCAAGGCAUGCCUCCAGCAGGUCCAGCACCCAGUCACGAGAGAUUCUUGCAUCACAUUCCUUAUGGACAUCCUUCAAAUAUGAUGGAUGCAGCCCAAAGACCUCCUGUACCUCACAAUGUACCACAUCCUGGUCCCAUACAAGAAAGAAGGUUUCAGGAGCCUCUCCAUCCAAUGCAGGCGCAUGGGAUAGCAAGUCAAAUUAGACCUCAUGGUAGUAAUUUCCCUGAAACUUUACCUCAUCCGGGGCAGCGAUCAGCUGUUCCAGAACCUUUCCAGCCACCUCCGGGGCAACAACCUUAUGGUUCAUAUCAUUCUGAAGUGCCAUCUGCUGGGCCCCCAGUAGCAGGCUUGUCUACCUCCUCUGCAAGGGCUCCCACCCAUUUCGGGCUCCCACAGAAAGGUUUUCCAGAUCAAGCUAUGACUCCACAAGGGCAAGGCCAGGGGCAUAUGCUGCCGCCUCAUGUUGGUGUGGCAAGACCUGCUUUUCCUGAUGGCAGGCAGCCUGAGCCACCUUUUGCCCAGUCAACUUCAGUGAAACCAAAUGGAAUUCCUGGUCAGAGGCCACCUAUUGGUCAUGUUUUGACAGAAGACAGGUUUAGGCCUUUCACAGAAGAAAGGUUCAGACUGCUGCCUGAAGAUGGAACAAGGGCAGCUCAAGAUGAACGAUUUAGGCCAUUUGCAAUGGACCAUGGUAGAGGCAUUGUCAAUCGGAAAGAGUUUGAAGAAGAUUUGAAACAAUUUCCUAGGCCAGCCCAUUUAGAUGGUGAAGGUGCACUGAAGCUUGAUGGUUAUAUAUCCUCAUCAAGGCCUCUGCCUGGGUCCGAUGGAGGUCCUAGUGCUCUCCCUUCGAGACCAUUGCUUCCUUAUCAAUCAGGUGGUCCUUUUCCCACUAGUAGUUUGGGUCCAGAGCACCAUGGUAUGGAUAUCAGAGAGAGACAUAGGCCUGUUGGAUUUCCUGAAGAUUUGGGAAGAAAGUAUGAUCCAGCUCUUGCCCUUCCUGAUCUCCGCAGUUCUGUUUCUGAAUUUGGUCGACGUCGUAUGGAUGCUCUCCCUCCUCUAAGAAGUCCGGGUAGAGAAUACUCUGGCCUUCCAUCAAGUAGAUUUGGACUAGGUAUGGAGAACUUUGAUGGGAGAGAUCCACGUGGAUUCAGUGAGCGAUCAAAAGCUUUAGAUCCAACUGGAAGUACAUACCAUGAUAGUAAGAUUCCUAUACCUUCUGCCCCAGGCUCUGGUGGAUUGCCAAGCCAUCUUUUUAAAGGUGUUCCUGAUGGUCAUGGAAGCCAUCGAAUGGAGCAGCUAGGUGCUGGUUAUUUGACUGGUAAUAUCAGAAAGGAUCUGGAUGUUCCUGAUAUUCCUCCUGUCAACUUGCAUACUGGUGAAUCACUUGGUCAUGGCUUAGCAGGUACCAACAGGAGCGGUGAAGCAUUUGGAGCUCGAAAUUUGCCUAGUCUUCUACGGGGAGGGGAACCUCUUGGACAAGGUCAGUUCCGCAUGGGUGAGCCAACUAGCUUUGGUGGCUUUAGUGUACCAGGCCGCAUUCGUGCAGGUGAUCCAGGUUUUAGUAGCAGCUAUCCUAUGCAUGGUUUUCCAAAUGAAGCUGGACAUCCUACUUCUGUGAGUGUGUUUUCUUCAUUUCUUCUUCAGCGUCUUUCCUGCAUACGUUUCCAAUAUGCUUUCUGAUUACUUGGUUCAUCUGUAUGUUUCUCUUCAGGGUGACAUGGAUGCCUUUGAGUUUCCAAGAAAGAGAAUGCCUGGGAGCAUGGGGUGGUGCCGCAUAUGUCGGAUUGACUGUGAAACAGUAGAGGGUUUGGAUAUGCAUUCACAAACAAGGGAGCACCAAAAGAUGGCCAUGGAUAUGAUUCUGUGUAUUAAGCAAGAGAUUGCCAAGAAGCAAAGGUUUUAAAAUAACUUUCUACAUAUUAAGGUUGCAUUUGGCAACAUUCUCAUUUCUUAAUUUUUAUUUUUCUGGUUCUUAUCAUUUUCAUUUCAUUUUCAAUAUUCUGAGAGUCGAGAAUGUUUGAUAGUUGGUGGCAUGGCAAUAAUUAGUGAUGGUGAUGUUGGUGGUGGUGGUGGCGGUGGCAGCUGUGGUGGUGAUGAAUUGGUGGUAGUGGUGGUGGUGAUGGUGAGGAUGGAGGGUGGUGUUGGUGGUGAUGGGGGGUUUUAACCUUGGCGGCAAUGGCGGGUGGCUGAUGGUCGUGACGGAUGGCAGCAGUGGCAAGAUGCUGGAAAGAGGCCAGAGAGCUGUAUUGACCUUUUUUUUCAAACGUUUUGGAAGUGCAAAAUUUUUGCGUACAAAAAUUUAAGAAAUUCUAGAAACAGUUUUCAAAAACACAGAAUGAAAUGUCUCUGCUGAACAUGUCUCUGCCUUAAAUUUUGUUUCUGUUUAAAAAUAAAAACAGAAAACAGGAAUUGAUAACAAUUCUAGACGGGACAUAUUUUACUGAUGUCUGACCUAAAAUGAUACAUCUGAGAUCAGAUGGCUGAUAGCGGGAUCGUUGAUGUUUUCACCUGAUGUUUGCAGGAUCUCUGAAGUCAACAUGCCACUCGAAGAUUCAAAUAAAUCAAGGAAGGCAAGUUUUGAGAACCAUGGAAAUCGACAGUAGACUCAUGGUAAUUUACCAUACUGCAGCUUUUAGCAUGUGAAUCAUAUACUUUAGCUAUAAGCUCUGUGUAUGAGACAAUUUGCUGUUUUUGGCUUAAACAAAAAGUAAAUGGUUGAUGCUAAAGCUUUUCUAUCAUCCUUUUUCUUUUUUGCAGGUUGCUUCUAUAGCUGUGGACCUGGUUCUUUGUAACCGAAGUUUCUGUGGCAAGUUAAGAUCGAUUUUGAUAACUUUGUCAUAUUGUGAACAGAUCUUGUGAUUUACUCCCUUGUCAUAACUGCAAAGAUCUUUCUUAGAUUUGGUUGCCAGUGGUGGAGAAAUUGUCUUUAUCACCUUUGUACUGGAAUUGCAGUUUUCCAUAUCGAGAAUGCUUAUUUGAGUUGAUGCUUAUUUUGUUUAGUUCAUUUUUACAUGUUUAUCUUCAAGUUGUAAGUCACGUAUUUUUAAAUAAUUUGUAGAUUUAGGUGUAAUUACCUCCCUUCAAUCACCUGUUUUCCUUUUCUGUAUGGUCUCUGUUCUUUCCUUGAUCUACCUUCUUGGAUUGAUUUAAGCUUGUUAGCCCAGCUAGUUCCCUGAAUAUCAUUUAAAAAGGAACUCUGCUGUUUUUGGUGCAGUAGCAGUUAUCUUUAUGUUUCUUCCAACUUAUUCCUUGUUAGGAGAAUCAUACAGUUUUUGUUCUCUUCACGAAAUCUGAGACAUCUAUAUCCUUUAGGAAACUUUUUUGAAUUUUUAAUUACAUUCUAUCCUUAGGAAUGCAUAUUUUGAAAGAUCAAAGCAUUUGACUGGGAUUGAGAGUUAAUAAUAUGGAUGGAGUGCAAUGUUAUCUAUUGGUAUGCAGAAUCUCUACAUAAUCUGCUAUGGUUCUGUGCGUGCAAGUUUUGAUGUAUAUUUGUUUAAAUGUGGCAUGUAAGUUAUAUAUGUGCUACUGAUUUAUCAUGAGCAAUUAUUAGGCAAGUGAUUAGCCAAUAUGAUCUUCAUAAAUGUCAAAGUCUAGCAGCUGUCAGAAUAAGUUUUACCAUUAACUAGGAUUAAUAGCUUCUUGAUAGAACUCUACCCUGACCUGGUUAUAUCUGUAACUUGAUUGCAAGUUUUGGAUUUUGCUCUUGUUUUGGCCUUAUAUGUUGAAGCAGGCAUACUCAGAAAUUUGCCAUCUACUUUAUGAGAUGAAUGAAGGAAUGCUUUAUCUUCUUCAUAAUCUUUUAGAGAUUUCUGGAAUGAGGGCUAAUAUUUAUGGUGUGUUUUUGUAGGCUUGAUUCUCUAUCAAACUUUAUAUUCCCUUUGGAUAUGAAAUGAAAUUCCAGUCAGAUUGAAAAUACAUGUCUGAUCUGUUGUGUUUAAUAUAUUGCAUUACUGUGAAUAUUUCUACUGGUUUAUGCCCAAAAAAGCAUCGAGAUGUCUAAUGACAUCAGAUAGAAGAGAAGCUUUGUGACUGGAUUUUUGUUUGCAAGCGAGAUAACCCUUGUAGCUUGACUUUUCUAAUUGAAAGUGUAAUGCUUUCAAUGGCAUAAUGAAAUUGAGAGGGAGAGAGAGGAGGUGGGGGGAGAGAUUAAACAAAUGAGACUACCAAUGAAUCUAUUUCUGAAGAUCAAAAAAUAAAAGAUACAUAAUUCCAAGAGUCAUCAGCCCUCUUUGAUCUUUAAUGGAGAAAUCUAUGGUCUUCCUACUCUCCUAAAUAUUGCUACAAUCAGAAAUUCAAAGGAAUUUAUAUAAAGCCUGUUACGUGCAUCACAUGCAGAACAGGAGUGUAUUGUUUGUGCUGGAUAUGAUAUGAUAAAGAUAUUCUACUAAUAAUUCCGUCAAUUGGUAAAUUUUUUCUGGUAAAAGAGAAUAGGGAAACCUUUUUUCUUCCAUAUAUUUGGUCUUUGAUGAUUAGAAAGACAUGAAUCUUGAAAACCCAAAACAAUUUUAACAUCCAUGACACAGAGUCCUUGAUGAUUUGAGAGCAUUUUUUACAAAAUUUAUUCCUUGAGGAGGUGAUCUUGGUUUCUUUAACAGUCAUGGUCAUGCCUUGAUAGUUUGAUGAACUAAUUUAUUUUGAUUUCAUGGGAGGUCACUGAAACCUAUCUUUCAAUAUCUGAUAUGGAGGCAUGUUGUAUGAUAUUACAACUGUCUUUUGAUUUGGUGGUCCCUUAACAUGACUGUAUAUGAAAUCCUAUGCUGCAAUUAAAUUUGUGGAAGUUUGUAAUUAUAGGUUUAAACUGCAGUAUUGUUUUGUAGGCUAUAGUUUUUUGGUAUCAACCUGUGCUGCUGAUAGCUUAACUUGAUGGUGCCAUCUGUUUUAGUUUAGCUAAGUAGUUUUUGUGGAAGCUAACCAGGGAAUGAUAAUGCUUUGCAAGUCGGCUGUGUGGUCAAUAUGUUGACCAGGACUUUGGACAAAACUUGAUGAGAGUAAUGGAAGGGGUUUGUCAUCUUAGGAUAUAUUCGUGGCAUAAUAUAAUUCUGUGGCUAAAGGGAGCGGCCAUUCUAAAAAUUGUAUGAGUUGCUGUAAUUAGCAUUGCUGCAUGACAUUAUUUUUUCGUUAAGUUCCUUUAGAUAGAUUCAGGGUUAUGGUUUCACCUGUUUGAUCAUAUAUUUGAUUUCAGUAUUCGGGAUUCUGCUUGUCUUUUGUUAUUGUAGUUUUAUAGUGCUAAUGCCCAGGUCAACCAUAGUCUUUGCUUUGGAAAACAGAUUUAACUACGGGAAUUGUGGUGCCAAAAUCAAAUCAUAGUAGAUUGGAUGCACAUAUAAAUAUCGAUUGUGUUAUGCUUGCAAGUAGAUAGGUGUCAUAUUUAUGGAAUGAAUUGCUAAUCAGUUUGAAAUGUUUCGAAAAUCACUUCAGACUAAUUUAAUGUUGAAGCACCAAACAUUUCAUGAUAUACAAAACAAUUUGUGAAUUAUAAUUGGACCUGUUGAAUAUAUGCUAAUAUGAUUGGCCUUUCAAUAAUUUGAAGUUUUUGAUGAACAUCAAAUAGCCUAUUUAUAGAUGGAACUCAUGAACGAUGCUGUUUAUGUUAUGAUGUGAAUGUUUUAUGAAGCCUUUUUUAUGCUUAAAUCAUAAUUACAAAUAAAACAAAUUACUAUAUGCAAAAAUACUAUUAGUCAAUAAUUGAAUGAUGAAUUUUUUAGUUAGGGGAGUUGAAUUGGAAGGGUUACUACAGUGCAUGAGUGAUUAAAAGAAGGGGAAAUAGAAUUGGAACUGCUUAUAAUUAUUAUAGAAGGAAACUUGGAACUCCAUUUAUUCUACAGCAAUAUGAACUAAAAAUGAUAUUCCACUCCAUUCUCUUAUAUUUAUCUUAACAUAUCAUAACUUGAAAUUGAGUAAUCUGAUUGUUUUUUUUUGGGUGAUAUUUAUAAGCUAUGCUGGUACGAUGUGUUUGGGUGAAAUGAUCUCCCAACAUCUCCUAGUUUCUUGCAAGAAUAGGGUUUACUUUUAUUUCUUUCUAUAUGCCAAAAAUGCUAGUGAGAUAUGGUAGCACUUUUCACUAGUGUACCUUGUCUUGUCAGACCUGUCCUAAAAAUCCUUGAAGAGAUCCCUUUUUUCUGUAGUUUCAUAUAGGCAUCAUUAUUUUUAUAGUACUUUUUGAACUUACUAAGUUGCACAUGUAGUAACCUUGGUUGUUCAUUGCUUUAUUGGUAACUGCAGUGCUGGACGAUGCUAUUAGGACUGAGCAUUCCAUUGCUGGUUGAACCAUCGAUCUUUCCAUGUAAUAAUCUACUCUCUUCUGUUCUUGGGAUCUAGAAAGGACAGUUUGAGUCCAUUUAUUUGAUCACAGUUAAUAGACUUUCAUUUAUUUAUGUUACAACAAUAAGAAAAUUUCCUCCUGUGUGUGUGUGUAUGUGAGCGUAUGCUAUUUUUUUUUUUGCAACUUUGCCAUGCUUAAUUCCUUUGCCUUUCUUUUCCUUGAUGAGGUGAUAUCUUUAUUGUCCCAUUUCUUUUUCUUAUUGGAUUGUGGCCUUUAUUUCACCAUAUAUAAACUCUUUGACAUAUAUUGGCAAGUCAUCAAUACUGUAGUUUUUUAUCACAUAGACUUUAUUUUAUGAGUUUUAACUGUGGAAAGGAUUAUAGGAAAGAGAAUUUCAUUGUUGACCUGAAGAAAGCAUAUAGAGUAGCUGUAUUAUGUUAUUUGCUAAGAAUUGAAAAAAAACAUAUUUGAUGUGUAUGCUGAAAUUAUAUGGAUGUGUAUGAAGGAACAUUAAAGGAUUAGAAACAUCAGAUGUUCAACGUGAGGAGAAUGGUUCUGUUGGACCCAUAUAUCCUUGCAUUUUCUGUAGGUGAACUUGCUGUCAUAUUCAUUAGGAUGUGCCACACUUUAUGUUAUUAGCAAUAAACAAACUUUGACUUUAUGAGUUGAAAAUAUAUUGGGUUGAUUCACUUUUAUUGUUGGAAAAGUUUUGGAGGAUAUAAGUUUUAGUGAUAAUGGCAAAGAGAUACAUUGUUGCUUUGUUAUGCAAGGAACGGAUUAAUGGAUGGAUAAUGCAAUUGAUACCAAGUAUAUGAAAUGGAGAAGUUUUCUAGGGUGUUAUAUGAUUAUUAUAUGCAUGCAAGAUGUAAAGAAGAGUUAGGAGAUGAUAAUGAUGUCCUUGGCAUCGUAUUUACAGAAUAUCAGAAUAUUAUUCUCCAAUAGAAGAUGAGCAUUGUAGUGAAUAUUUGGUUCACUUAUUCUUACCUUUCAAAUUUCCAAACUUUUAGAGGAGAAAAUAAUAGAAUUAAGUUUUCUGUGCUAGCUGAAGUGCUUGUAAUUUGAAUGUAGAGUUUCAGUCUCUUUAUUACUUCUAUUCUAAAUGCAAUAACUUUCACGAAGUCGUAAUAUGUUUAUCUUUUCAGCUACCUUAUUCUGUUUCAUUUUCUUGUUUUUGCCUCUGGUUUGUUGCUUAGGAUGUGUUCUUUUUGUGUUGCUUUCCCUUUUUCAAACUUGAUGCCUAUAGCUUCAUGUUAGGAAGUAUUUUGGAUUUGUUUAGGAUCUCAUUUAUUUAUUGCCCUUUUCUGGUCACUUUCUUUGGGCGCUUGUUCGCUUGACUGUAAUUCUCCAUUCACCUUAUCAAUGUUCCAAUUCUUUGAAUAUGCAGUAUGUUUCCUUGUCAAUGCGCCUGAUUUUAUGAACUGUUUGUCCAUUUCACCUUUAGUGCUAUGACUAGUGUAUUUGUACACAUCUUGGCCCAUGUUUUUCCAUGUAUGAACAAGCUCUAUAUACAAAUUAUCAGUUAGUGGGGAGCUUGAAGGAUUUUGAAACUUGAAAACUAGUUUAUUCUAAUGAUGAGAAUGUGCAUUUUGGAGGCUAUGGAAAUUUGACAUAAUAUUCUUUGUAGUCUUCAAAAUUUGUCCCAGUCCAAGCAAACAAGUGGAUAAUCUUAAACUCAUCCCACAAAAGAAGACAGCUAAAAUUCCCUACCAUAUACAUAUCGAAGCAUGCGACAUGGUUGUUUGACAAUUGCACACAGGAUUGUGCGUCUUGGUUGCCUUUGUUAUGGAUGUGCGUCUUGGUUACCCUUCUAGUCACUCUUCUUUGAUACAUACACGUUUUUACAUUUCACUCACUGAUAGAUGACUAUGAAACAGAAUGUAGCAAAUAGAAACUAAAAUGCGGAGUGUAUCUAUUAAUUAUACUCCUGAGCCCAGAUAGUCAUGGUUGAUGGGGACAUGUCCAUUUCUACUAAAUGCUUCUUCAUUUCGAAUAAACUACAUUCAUAUGCUUGAUGCUAGUCACAUUUAACAUAAAUCGUGAUCACAUUUCCAAAUAAUGAUUUUUAGAAUCUCUCUCCCAUUUUUUUGUCAAAUAAGUAGUAAGAUUUAUCUACAAUUAUUGAAACAAAUAUAUAAUUUUGUGGCACUUUAUGCAAUAAUUCUAGUUCUAGCUCGUUAUGAAAGUGCUAGAGUCAUUUCAUUUAUCUGUUGGGAGCCAGUUGGACAAAGUGAAGGUGGCGAUGCUCUAAUCUCAUAACCUUUAGAACUCUUGCACCAGAUUUAGAGAAUCUAGUGUAGUGUGGCAGAUACUCUCUAACAUCGUAGCUUUAAAAGCCUUGAGUGAGGGAAAUAGGAUCGGUAUAUUUGAGCCUCCAUUCAUUAGCAUAUGAUGUUGAGUGAAGAUCUAUGUGGUGUAAAUGGCUAGAUGAUGUCUUUAUGAAACAAAUCCAAAUUCAUGUCUUGUAUAGCGAACUCAAUGAGUAGUAUCUGAUUUCAUGACCUAUAUUGCCCACAGACUCAUCAUAACAUGUUAUUAACUACUAUCUUAAGCUAAUUAGGUAUCCAAGUAACAGAGCAAAGAUAUGCUAAUUGUUGUUUGUUAAUGAACAAGAAAAGCCCAAACAGAACAGCACCUUUUAAUUCUUGAUUCUUGUGGAGAUGGUGAUGGUGUUUUGCCAAAUUAACAUCAAGUUUUUACAGCUAUUUAAUUACAAUUUGUUGAUUUUGCUUUCUAAUGUUUUGACAGUUUACUUGUUUCAUUCACAAAGCAGACCAAAAAAUGUUUAAAAUAAAGCGCGUGAGAGUAUUAUUUCCAUAUUUGACAUGGUUUAUUUUAAGAUGGUAAGAGCAUGUUCAUGUUUAUACAAUAAAGUUUACAUUGUAAACUAUCACAUUGUCUACAUAAGUGGCUUCCUGAAGAGCUAGGCUUUACUUUUUGGUUGCCUGGCUUUUUUUUCGUCUUGUGACUGGUAAAAUUUUGCAAACUUUUUCAGUGAUUACAAACUUACUAUAUAAUUUUAAUAUCAUAAGAAUUUAGUUUGCAGUAUUUGGACCAUUGAUUUGUUACAUUUGGUGAUUAACAGAAUAUUUUUUGUUGGGAAAUAGUGAAGGGCUGUCUUUCUCUUCAUACUUCUUUUAUUCCUGGGUUUUCAGUAUCUGAGUAUUUGAUUUUUGUAUUUGCCUGCCUUUUUUUGUUUCUAUCUAUAUUCCUUCCAUAAUUGGAUAGUGAAUUGUAUGGCUCUUAAGUUGCAAUGGUUUUAAAGUAUAUGACAUGUAGUGCAUUAUUUCCCAUCAACUACUGUCAGACAAAAUAUAUAUUCUAAAUUACUCAUGGGAAAUGACUGGAACACUAUAAUGUAGUUAGACAUUAUAGAAGGAUUAGGUGCCAUUUGUAAUCAAUGCACAAUUGUUAUUUUUUCUAAUCUUUUGGAUUUCAAGGAAAGGCUGACAGUGUGGUUGAUUGUAGACCUCACUUGAAUUAUCUGAUAACAUUGUUUGCUUGAGACUGUCUGAAGGAUUGUGUCUUACCUGCUUAUUGGUUCUAGGCCAGCACAUGCAUUUGAUGCAUAGAUUGUAUGUUCACCAAAAGUCUAUGCUGUUUGCAUCAGAUCACUAGCUUGUUUUAAAAGAAAAUCUUGCACUAUUAGAGGACAAAAAUUAACCUUCAAUAUACAACCAUGUAUGGUAUGGAAAUCCAUAUACGCUCCCUUUUCUAUAUCGUUGGUUGAUUAUACUUGAAUUUGCUUUGUUGGAGAUGAACUGGUAUUCAGUAUUAUUUUCUGAGAUGGUGAACUCGUAGACAUGACAUGCCGCACUACUUUUUGGACUCUAAGAAGUUGGAUUAUUGUGUCUUCAUCAAUCCUAACUGUUAAAACACAAGCAUUUUCUACUAUGGCAUUCUAGGGCUACCCUGUCAACUAUCAACCGUGCUGCAAUUACUUAAAAAUGUUUGGUGCUUCGUAUUGAAGUUUUACUUCUUGUUUCUUCUUUUCUUCAACUUAAUCUUAUGAAUUGAUUUGUUUAAGUUGGAUUGUCAAUUAUUAGUUCUCUAGUUAUAGUAUUUCCACACGUGUACCUAUUCAUGUUGUAUGAAAAUGCUUCCAUGUUAAAGCAUUAGGGAGGUUAUCUUUUGAGUAGGUUACUGACUUUGUGAAGAAGUGAGCAACAGAAAGUUGUAAGUUGGGAAAAUAUGAGGUAGAGGGAACAUCUUGAUAAAGCAGAGACUGCAAUAAAAGUGACACUGAUUACGUUAUGCAUGGUACAUUUAGAAAAUGUAGAUUGCUGCCAAUUGGUUGCUUCGCUGCUGUUAUACUACAUCAAGGUGUUACUACCAAGAUUUAUGCACAAGUUAAGAAGAAGGCAUCUAAAGCCAAAAAAUCUUGUACGGUUCAUGGUGUAAUUUUUUGCUUCUAUACUAAUGCAAUGCAAGACAAUCUUGAAAGGAAAUACCCGGCUAGUGAUCUUUCAACUUUGUUUGACUUCUUUGACUUGAUGACCAACAUCAUUCUAUUAGGCACAAUUGUUUUCCCUACUUUUAUCUUUUUUUAUGGCCUUCUUUAACUCAAAUAUUCUGAUUCUAUAUGUAUACUUCAUAUUUUGUUUUGCUUAGUAGAACUAGUUAGGCAUCAUAAAUUGUACAUGACUUCAUUUGAAGAGCUUAUGAAAAUAACUAUUCAUCUUUCUUUGAUCUCACCCUCCUUAACCAAAAUGUUUUGAUCUUUAUCAUUGAUGCAUUUAACCUGCGGUUUCUUGUUUUCCUUUCUCUUAGGUUUGCAAUCUUAUACGUUAUCUUUUUUUUCCCAUCCUUAGUGUCUGAGUUGUGAGCUAAGUUUUUUUAUCAGAUGGCCUUCUCUUUGAUUCUCCUAAUACCUCGGUAGCCACUUUCUUCUCACAUGGUAUUGAUUUCUUUAUCUAGACCCCAUUCCCUUCUUUCAGCAUUAUAUAUUUGAAAUUCAUUUGUUUCUCCUCACAAAUUUCAUCACCUAGUUCUCAGGGUUUUAUUUUCUUUUUUCAUUGUUUUCAUUACCUAAUACACAUCUAAAACCACGAUUCUUUGCUGGGUACUUAAACUUUGUAUAACCCUUCAAUCUUUUUACGAAACCUAGUCAGUCUUACUAGUAAGGUAGAAAUAUAUUUAGCUAUCAUGCUGCCCAUUUUUAAAUUUAUCAGUCCUUUUUUAAACAAGUGUUAGCUAAUAUUAAGUUAUAUGUCAUAGCGAACUCCGAAAUGCUAUCUUAUUUCUCAUUUCUAUUUUUGUAACCAUAACGUCCACACCUUUCCAAAAUGUAUACUAUAUUUUUUCCACGUGCCCAUUCAAAUCUACUUUGAUAUAUAUCUUUUCUUGACUAGAAAUCUCUUGAAGCAGUCCAUCCAAGCUGUCUCAAAAGUGCUGCUUUAUAGCAUCAUCCAAUCCUAUUUGAGCAAUAAUAUUAGUAGACUUCUCUUACGAUAUUAGUUUUAUCAAGGUUUUUCUACUUUUCACCAUGACUGGACAUCGAUGUGGCCUGUUGCUUACGGGGAACGUCCUAAUUAGCUGUUGCCCACGUUUCACUAUACCUGGGGUUACGGGAACACCCCAAUGCUUUGCUUAUGUCUUCAUUUGCAUAACAUGUGACUAUAGUUUUAUGCUGGCUGUCAUCCUACUGCAAUUCUCCUUUGCUCGGGCUUAGGGUUGGCUAUGUACAAAAUAUAGGUGGAGUUAAAAGCUAUUAAUUUAUCAAAAUGUAUAAUAAUCCUGCAGGCUCAUGCUAUGUUGAUGUAGGAUUGAUGUUGGCCGCUCCUCAUAGAAGAUAAAAAUUAUUUUAAAAAAUAUAUUUUUUGUUAUAUUGGGAUGUUAUUUUUAUUAUUACUUUUUUAAACUCUUUAAUUCUCUUUGAAAGUCAAUUGAUACUCCUCCCGCCCACCCUGUCUCCAUAAUGCUAAUCAAAAAAGUUUCUAAAAGAGAGAGUUACCUGCCACUCCUAUAAAGGGUAAACAAGUGCUUGUAUUUCAGGAUCUGUUAGUUUUGUUCUAUUAAUUUGAAAAAAAAGCAAAGAAUUCCAUCACUCUAGAUGGUUAAUGGAAUGCACGUAGCAAUCAUUAAGGCCCUUUCUCAGACCCAUUGUUCAGGUUAUGAAAUAAACUAUACUUCGAAAGAGUCUGAAAUUUGUGACUUAUUUUGUCUAGCUGCAAAAAUGUGCUACCAUAAAUGCUUGAGCAAAGACUGAUGCUUGUUGCAGGGAUUUAAAUACCUGAUUUGGCUUUAUUCCUAGUAGGCCAACCAUGUUAACGAUUUUCUGAUCGCAAUGGUUAACAGUAAAAACAAAUGACUAAAUUGAAUUUUUACAUGUACUUACUUAUUCAUUCGUGACGGAUAUUAAGUGCUGGUUUGAAACAACGAAUUUUAGUGUCUGCUUGAGAUUACUCAUUUCCAGUUGCCAUAAAUUGGUAGCACAUCAAUAUGAUGGCUUCCAAAUAUUACUGUUUAAAGAUGCAUUAACUGUUGAGUUUUAAAAGUGGCGGAUUCAGCUAUACAACAUUGUCUGUUAUUGUUAAAUUGAAUGUGAAAAGAAUUCUGAUGUUAAAAUUUUGAAAUCACAGUUCACAAAAAAGCUUAUGGAGCAGUUAAAACCAGCUGACAAUAUACGGCAAUUUUACUAGCAUUGCAUUCGCGAGUAAGUGAAUUUGGAUGUGUCAGAAACCAUAUAGGGCGUGGUGGAUGAAGUGGAUGAGCAAUUUCAUGAUUACCUAAAUGCCUGAAGGACAUUCUAGGGAUGUGGAAUAGCAAUUGUACAGGGUGAGUGAACAGAAUGGAGUUGUUUGGAUGUGUUUGGCGGCAAUGUGGUUAUUAUGGUUGAUAUGGGAUGAAAUUAGGAGGAUUACAUAAUGUUGUAGGAAACCUUUUUAAUAGCCCCAAUACUAAAUUGUUGGAAGUCAAUUGCGAAGGUCUGGGUAGGCUACAGAUGGAUAAGUUCAGGUCGUUUAAUUGGAAUUUUGAUUUGGAUGAAUAAAAUUUUUCGUUAGACUUGACACUGCUUUGGAUGACUUGACAGUGCCUUGGAUCAUUGAGCUUGAACCCAUUUGGGUGUUCCUAUAUUUGUUUAGGCAAAAAUUGCCAAUUUUAUAAUAAUGCUUGUCAUGGUCGCUCAAUUUUUAUACCUUAUUAAUGAUUAGGGUAUGAUUUCUGCUUCCCUUUAGAGUCAUCUUUGGUAGGGGUUAAUCAAGGAGGGUUGCCCCUUGUUUGAUAGACCAUGCAUUCAACAAAGGCAAGUUUUCCUACCUGUAUGCUGAAGUUCUAGGUUUUAUGGCGGGAUAUUCUCUUGCCUAAAAUAGUGAUAUCUGGUGUUGGUCUGCAAGGCUUUGACAUUGAUCUUUUGUAUGUGCCUUCUGUAAUCAUAGAUAGAUUGUUCAAUUUUGAACAAUAAUGAACUUCUAAGUGUUACAAGGUAAAAUGUGCUUAUAUGUAAAGUAUCAUUUUUUUGCUUUGAAUUAUUUAAUCACAUUUAACUAACUUUAUCUGUAAAUUGUUCUGUACAACAACAAUUAGUCAUAACCAUGGAUUUGUUGUUUAGUUAAUUAAAUCUAUGGAUCAAUGCUUUUGACCUUGACUUCAUUGUGAUACACUUGCUAUUGUCUGGCUUGUUUCUAUUUAUAUUGUCUUUAUGUUGUGUGAACAAUUUCUUAAUUAACUCUGGUAGGAGGGAAAAUAAGUUCUCUUUGUACCUGGACAAGCGACUAAUGUUUUAGAUCUUACCACACUAGGAACAUCGUCGCAUCAAUAUCCCAAUUGCCAUCUUCUUUUUACCACUUGAAUACUUCAUCUUUGGAUAUGUCCAUCCUUUCUUUUCAUGAGUGUUUUUGAUGUUAUGUUAUGUUGCUCUUUUGUUUGUUCUUUUUCACCUUGUAUACACUUUUUGUUGUUUGUUGGCGCCUUGGUGCGUCUGAACCUCUUAUGCUAAUCUCUGCACUUUGAUUUCCAGUGAAGAAAUUCAUUUAUCCUUUUAAACAUGUGGAAUUGUAUGCAAAUAUGCUAAUGUAACCACUGCCUGGGUUGCACAAGCAUCGUGCAGUAACUUAGAAUCCCUAGCAUGAAAGGUAACCGAUAUUGGCUUUAAAAGAUCAAUUAUUAUGCAGGUGGUUGACCGAUUGCCGCGAUAACCGCAGCUUGUAGAUAUCUAGUGUCGUGUUAAAACUAACCACUUCAGGGGCAUGGUUUUUCGCUUUGCCAAGUGCAAAUUAGAGAGGUAAAGGUUGGACUGCUGGAGUCUUAUCAAUAUGACUUUUGACCGAUAGAAAAUGACGACUGACUUGAUUUUGCGGUACUAGCUAGUUUUGCAGUCAGGAGUUCGUUGGGUGGACUGUGUUUCAGACUUAUCGUGACAUUGACAUGAUGUAAUCUUGUAGUAGUUAUUUGUGGAUUGGUGGCAAUUAAAAUUCUUGAGUUAAUUUUUAUCAGAAAAAUUCUUGAGUUAAUUACCUAGCUUUGGAGAUAAUAGUUGUAGCUUGAUAUCGACUGAAAAAAGAUUCCUAUUUCAAAGUUUGCCUUCUUGCCAUCGGACGUAACAGAGGUGAUGCUCCCUGUUUGACGUACUUUGACUAGCUAACCGUGAACAUAGGAUUUUUUUACCAUUCGGUUUGUCUGCCGAGUCUCACGACUGGUAUUGCUCCCCAUAACAUUUGUCGUCAGGAAUGAUAGUCGCCAGUCGUGUUGUUUAGUGUGAGGUUGUCAGAUGGGCUGCUGAUCCGUCGUAUGGUGUCAUUUCAACCUUUUUAUUCUUUUUUUAUGAUGGAAUAACCUGUUUUUCUUGUUGUAGUGUUCGACUUUUUUUCUUUUUUUUCCUUAUAACAUGUUCAUUCUUGUUAGCCAUUCCCAUUCUAACAGGGAAAUGAUCGGUUGAUUGGUCAAGAUUAUCCUCUCUCCGGCUUUUGUGUAUAACCAGGUUUUUAAGUUAUUUCAGUAAUUUUCCAAAUUAUCCAACAUCUGUCUUCUGUCUAUUUUGCCUUCGGAGUCUCAAAAACCUGAAUUGCAGCCUUUUUUUAGUACGUUCAGGUACUACCGUUUUUCGGUCUUUCUGGUUUUCAUUUAUUUGCUCAAGAAAUUUUUGCUAGUCCAGAUAUGAAUUCUUAACUUAUGGGUUUGGAAUUUAUUUGAUGAAAUUGUAUGACAUGAUUGAGUUAAUGUCAGUGGUAACCUCGCCUUUAUUGUUAUACGAUUAAGAAAUCCAGAGCCUGUGGGUUGGAUGGCAUCUCUCCCUCUUUAUGGUGUUAACAUGGAUGGUUUAGUGAUACACAGGUUCUCACCUUACGGAGCUGAAAUUCAGUUCUGAAUGAAUUUGGCAUGCGAGUUGAAGCCCAAGGUGAGAUUAUCCACACGGACUUCCCUUUUUUGGCUAUCAGGACUGGGCUCUUUGUAAGGCUUUGGUCUAUGCUCAGCCACAGCAUAUUUAUGGAGCCAUUAUUGAUGUGAUGCUCUUGCUUAGCUAUCCAUUGGGAAAUGGGGUUAGCCCAUCCCUGUUUCGAGUAUCUUCAACUUCGAUCUAUAUGAUCAAAUUCUGCUGCGGAUUGGAUUGCCGACCAUGCAAAGGGGGAGAAAACUGUAUCAUGGUAAAUGCUGUACCCUGUGGCCUUUAAUUUCUUUAGACGUUUCGGUGCUUGUAAUGGAAGGGUAUGACUGGUUCUAACAGCUGCUUUGACCGCCCAAAAAAGGAAAGAAACACUGGUUCAAUGGAGAUUUUUGUGGACGGAAAACUUUCUUUGAAACAACCUAUAAUUUUUCAAAUAAAAGUUUAACCAAGACAUGGAUGGGGAAGCCGUCUAUGAAUGCUGUGAGCCACAUCCUACUCCGACUAUAAAGCGUUGCUAUACUUUUGCAGGUUCGCUUCGGGGUACAUGCCAAUUGGCCCGAUUCGUGUUCUUAAGCAAAUGAUUGUCUCCAAUCAGAUUAUUUGUCCCCGCAUGCAUUAGUUUCCUGGCUUGAAUCUGGGGAGGACUAUUGGAGUUUCAAAUUUCUGGGAUAUGUUAGUCACAAGCGAGUAUGUCUAGGUUGUACAUUCCUCUAGUAUUUAUACUCCUGUAUUUUCAUCUGUUGUUGAUUGUCCGUUCGUCAUUGUCCUGAGGGUCUAUUGGGUUUGCUGUAAGUAGAUCCAUCCGGAACGAACUCUGCUAAAAAUCAUUUCAGGGCUCCUUUCACAAGCAAAAAGGCAAGUCCGGGUCGUUUCUCAUUUCUUCCAAAAUUGGAUCAUUUUAGCUCCAUCUAGAGCCAAUCAAUUAUCAGAAUUGGGUCUUUACUAGUUCGAACUGAAUUUGGAGUUUGAAUGUCCGGUUACUGGCAAGUACGUAGGACCCAAGCAAAUCUGAGACCUUCAAUGUUCGCUUCGUGAGGUCAAAUGUCUAGUUACAGGCAGCUGAACGGAUCGUAGGUCAAUAUUCCGUAUAUUAUUUUGAACACAUAACUUGCUACUACCUUCAAAUGGUAUGAGCGGACCACGGGACAAGAUACCCCGGCCAUUUAUCCUAGGACCCUGGCAGUUUCCCGAGGAGCCAAGGUGUCUUGGAGGAGCGGCAUGUCAGGUCACACCCCAGUCUCAUGCCUAGCUCUUUUACUCAGCCGUAGCAAUAUUUCAAAUUAAAAAAAACUUCAAAACUCAAUGUUUCUAUCAAGAAAAAAGCCUCAGGAAUAUUUUAAAUUAGAAAAUGCUUUAAAAUCCAACCUUGCUUCAGGAAUCUGUCGCCGGGGAGUCGGCGUUAUUCAUUGGUACAGGAUUUGGGCCCCGUAAAAUUCCAGCUGAAUUGACCGUUGCCCUCCCUCCGCUGGAAGCUCAGCUCGUCCCAGCCCUUCGCUUCUACCAGUUCCCGACAGAAAUCCCCAGUGCCACAGGGCCAGGAUUCAAAAUAUGAAGGAUGAUACUAGCCGUUACUUCUGCUCCCUGUAUAUGCCAACCCACCCUUUCUUCUACAUCUGAUCUCUUUCUCAAGCUUCCCGCGAAAGAGUGUGCUCGAAUAUUUUCGGUUGUCUUUCCUUCUUCUUUGUGAAAGGGUAGGAAAAAAUGCGCGAGAUUCUUCACAUCUAGGGAGGGCAAUGUGGCAACCAGAUCGGAGCCGAUUUCUGGGAGGUUUGUCUGUGGCGAGCAUGGGAUUGAUGCCAGACCUCCAGCUUGAGAGGAUCGAUGUCUACUACGAUGACGCAAGCUGUGGCCAGUUUGUUCCCCGGGCCGUGCUCAUGGAUCUUAGAGCCAGGAACCAUGGACAGCAUCCGAUCUGGCCGUAUCGACAGUGCUUCCGUCCUGAUAACCUUGUCUUUGGGCAGUCCGGUGCUGGGAACAACUGGGAUAAUGGGCCGUCACACCGAAGUUGCUGAGCUUAUCGAUUCAGUGCUUGAUGUGGUUGGGAAGGAAGCAGAGAACUGCGACUGCUUACAAGAUAUGAUCUUCACUCUUGCGCUCAAAUGUCUUCAACGAACGCCCAUGUGAUGGCCUUUCCAUUGUAUGUUAAAUCUCGUCUUUUAAAUUUCUUUCUCGUUUCCUUUUUUUUUGAAAAGAAAUUUCGGGGACACUUCUGAUAUCUAAUAUCAGGGAAGAGUACCCUGAUCGUAUGAUGCUCACAUUCUGUCUUCCCCUCCCCCCAGGGUCUCCGACGCUGUCGUUGAGCCUUACAAUGCCUCUUUAUCGUCCCCCAGCUUGUCGAGAACGCUCAUGGAUGCAUGGUCCGGGACAAUGAGGCCCUCUCUGACAUCUGCUUCAGAACCCUCGAGCUCAUUACCCCUAGCUGUAAGCUCCCUGCUUAGUACCACCUGCUUACAAGGAGUACUUGCUAAUUCUAGUUCACUCUGUACUAAUUUUGCUAUCUUCCAUUUGAGCAGUUGGAGACUUUGGAACCACUUGAGCUCUGCAACCAUUUAUGGAGUAACAUGCUGCCUGAGGUUCCCUGGCCAGCUCAACUCUGACCUCCAAAAGCUCGCGGUUAACGUCAUUCCCUUCCCUCGUCCUCAUUUCUUCAUGGUGGGAUUCGCUCCAUUAACCUCCCGCGGGUUUCAGCAGUGUCGUGCACUCACAGUCCCAGAGCUGACCCAAAAAGACGUGGGAUGCGAACAUGACGUGCGCAGCUGACCCACGCCAAGGACGGUAACUCACGGCCUUGGCUACGUUCCGAGGUAAGAUGAGCACCAAGGAAGUAGAUGAGCGGAAGAGCAGUGUACAGAACUAGAACUCUUCCUACUUCUGUCGAGUGGAUCCCAAACAAUGCCAAGUCGACGGUGCGCGACAUCCUAUCGAUUGUUCUGAAGAUGGCAUCGACCAUUACUGGGAAUUCGACUGCUAUUCAGGAGAUUCUCCGGACGGUGAGAUGGAGAGUAUCAGGGGAAGGAAUGGAUGAGAUGGAGUUCACCGAGGCAGAGAGCAAGAAGAAUGAUCUAGUUUCAGAGUAUCAGCAGUACCAAGAUGCAACAGCUGACGAGGAUGAAGACUAUGAUGAGGAGGAAGAAGCUCAGGAAAAUGUGAUUGGAGAGCACCGGCUCUUGUGUUUUUGUCCGGUGUCUUAGAUUCUGAAAAAAAAAUUGCAGGUGAAAGCAAAUGACGAAAAUAUGUUGACGUUGAUACAUAAAAAUUAUUAUUUCCGGUGGGUCAAUAUUGUUGUGGAUGCAUCAUGCCUUUUGGGAGAUGACUAAAUUAGUUUAUAGCCAUUGACCUCUGAAUGAUUGUGCACAACAAUGACAAAAGUUUUCAUGCUUCUAAAUUUCAGUCUGAUACAGUAUGAAAUUUCUUUUGUUCUGGAAAUAUGGGGUCUGUCAGAUCACUGCAUGUACCGAGAUAAUAGGAAAAUGAUGGUUACAGCGAAGGGACGAUAAUUUUGAUGCCAAGAAAGUGGAAAGAAUGCCGACAAAUCAGUUUCCUUUUGUUGCACCAUGCUUCUUCAAAGCAAAAGAGCAUUAGAGCACCAUCUUUUUGCCUUUGGUUGCUAGAAAUAUAUUUUAGCUCCAUCCCAAUUCGCCAAAUAAAAAUGCUUCAGUAGCUAAUUUGUUGUUUUUUCCCAUUGAAUUGGUAACCUGAAGUGUGCCACAUAAUGAAGCAUCGAGAAUGGUGCAAAAGCAGCUGAGUGAUGUUUUUGAAUGAUUUUUCUGGGUUACCGUAGCAUUGCCCUUCUUGAAACUAUUUAUUCAUGGAGAAGCUGAUGUAGAUUAAAGAAAGUGGGUAAAGUCUGAACAAGCAGCUCAGUGAUGUUUUUGUAGCAUUGCCCUCCUUGAAACUAUUUAUUCCAUGGAGAAGCUGAAGUAGGUUAAAGAAAGUUGUUAAAGUCUGAACUAUUCGAACCAAAUGCACCGAUGCUUUCAGACAGUAAAAAUGGCUCCUUUAAUAAAGUGAUUACAUUUUUUCUAUGGACAGGGAAGAAAGUUGGAUUAUAAAGGAGAGGAAGAGAGCUUCUCUUUUAAGCUUAAGAAUUGAGUGUAUAAAAAGCAACGCCUACAGGGAAAAAUCAAAAGUUGAGUGCUUUCCUAAUUAAUAGCAUCAUUCCUCCAGCAAUAGAAAUUAUAAACAGAGCCGGGGAAACACAUUUUUCAGCACAGGUGCAAAUUAUAACAAUAUUUAGAGAUAGAUACUCUGAGAAUAUUAGAAAAGAUGGUAGCAUCUUAUUGUAGAAGCAAUCUUCUAGUGGUCGAGUAGUACCCCGCUUCAGUAGAUUUCAGGCUGGUGCCAAUCAUGCUCUUUCCAUUAAGCAUACACAGUUUGCUUCUAGUUUAUUCCCUUAAUGAAAUGAAGCUAGAUGGGAUUCCCAUCCCCCUCACAAAAGAGAGAGUGAUAUCUUUCUUUGUAUGCUUUGCUUUUCCUCUGUCUAUCUAUUGUUUUGCAGCUUGGCUUUCCUUGGAUGUCGAUGCAUUUCCUUAUAUCAGUCCUCGUCUUCUUCCUCAUGCUUCUACCCUGGUAUUAUCUUUUAUUCUUUUCUCAGACCAGUAUUAAGAUCUGCUAACAGCCAACCUUCUAGCUGAGAAGAAAAACAGCACACCAUUCUUCUCAAAAUCCUAAUCAGUUAAAUCUUUUCACUAUUAUUAGCCCUAGACAACCCAAUAGCCCAUCCCUCUAAUCCUAUUUCUCUUUGUAUAGGUAUUGCCUUAAAUUGACAGCAAUCGUAUCCUUGUUUCAUGCGUGAUAUCUAUAUACACACACUAAUGAUAGGUUCACCUCAACAAGUCCUUCUAUGUAUUGAUUCUCCCAUAAAGAACCUUUAUCUAUUUUCCCUUUUUUUUGUUGGGAAAUGCAUAAACAACCAUUAUCUUCAUUAGCUGGUAAAUAACAAUAUCAACAAUAUCAUCAUGGUAUCCCUUCACCUUGCAAGCCUGGAUCAAAAAAAUCAACAAGCCAGGGUGAUGCCAAGCGAACAGUUAGUCAUAGAUUGAACACCAAAAAUGAUAUGUUUCAUUAGCUGGUAAUAACAAUAUCAACAAUAUCAUCAUGGUAUCCCUUCAGCUUGCAAGUCUGGAUCAAAAAAACCAACAAGCCACGGUGGUGCCAAGCGAACAGUUAGUCAUAGAUUGAACACCAAAAAUGAUAUGUUUCCUUGAGCGCGAGCUGAUGGUGAAUGCAGUGCUUGAUAAUUGAGGCAAAAAAAGAGUUCCCAGAUUAACCUGUCAGUUAUUGGUUCGAGCUCACAAAAUAGAGGCUGCCAACACAGGUGUUCUUGAUUCCAGUUAGGAUCUAGAAUUCAUGACAAAGGGAGGAAAAUUCUGUUAAAUUCAAAACUCAUGGUGAUUCUCUCAUCCUAGGAUGAAGGCCUGCUGUAACUGGACCAAUUAGCUUCCAAAUGAGCUCAUUAACAGCUGAAUCAUGCAAAUUAUCCUGGAUAAAUCUAUUAUUAGUGCCUUUGCUAUGAAAUGAGCAACUGAAUUCCAAUCAGAAAAGGAAAAAAAGACCGUAAAAGGAAACCAGUCAGCACCAUAAAUUACCAACCUAAGAGAGAAACAGUAACAGGUUUAAGAAUUUAAAAUAGUGAAUUAUAUGAAGUUCUUCAAUUUGGAAAAGAUGUUCAUGCUACCAUUACUACUAUUCUCCGAAAUCACAGUUGAAAUCCAAACUUGCAGAGCAGAGACCUCUAGUUCAUACAUCCAAAGAGAAUGCAAAUACAACAGUUUGAUUUCUUGAUGGAAACCAUAGCAUUUGAGGAAAUUUGCCACAAAAGCUACAUUUUCCAUCAGAUCACAGACGAUAAAAUACAAAGUGGGAUAAAGAAAAAGAAAGAUAUACAAGACAGACAACAUCUUCACCUCCAAGCCUCUACUUCUUAGUACUGUCUACACCCUUCUCGCCAGCAACCAGCUCAAUCUGUUGAUACCCAACCUCGACCGGAUGCACAGGAUACUCUACCGGAGCGACCGGACGCCGGGCAAUGAGGGCAAACCAGACAAACAUCACAAAGAAUGUGAGCAGACCCCCACAAGCAGCAGCAAACACCAUUGCUACAAACACACCCCAAGGAUAAGUCCUCCUAAGAUGAAUCGGAGGGCUCUCACGAGCCCGCACCACGAAUGGACGAGGAUCCAGGGGCUCAGAAUGCAUCGAAUACGGAGCUCCACGUUUAACAGCAAAGCUCCACGAGUAGACACUGCUGGUCUGAGUCGAGUUUCCACUCGAAGAGCUGAUGCCCACAAGCUUCUCCUCCCUCUGCAGCACCCUGGACAGAUCAAUUGGGUAGGAAACCAGCGGACUCAGCGGCCUCGAAUCACUCGAUUUGCUCAGCCUCACUUCGAAUCUCUUCGAAUCCCCAUCAUAAUCGACCCAAGAAUGCACCUUUUCUCCACCAUGCAAGACCAGACUGACAUUGGAAAGGUUGCUGCUUUGCUUGGAUAUUUCGCCACCAACUUCGACCCUGAUGUGGCUGCCAGUCUCAGGUUCCGUCCGUGUCUCGAAUUUCACUGCGGUAGCCCCGGGUGGAAGCCCAAAAUGCAGCCCGUUGGUCGAUUCUUUCACAGGAGAACUGCUCGGGGCCAAGAAGAAAGCCAAGCCCUCACCACCGUCGGGGGAGGAGACAGAGAAAGCGAAGUAGGUCGAGAAACUAGGGUUUCUCCCAAGAAAUCUGACGGGUUUCCGGUACACGACCCGUCCCGAGCUGAAGACCGCGGGCCGCGUGAUGCCGACCACAAAAUCGCUAAUCUCCGCGUCGCCGUACAGAGCAAUCACCGCAUCCAAGCUUCGAUUUUUCUCGAACCGCUCGAAGCGGAAGGAGAAAGCGGGGCCUUUUGCCGGGACUUUCGCAAUGGAGGCCGGCGAGAGAGGCAACGAAGAGGAUGGCGAAUAAGGGGGAGUACCUGGAGACGACCAAAAACGCCAUUCUUCUCCUCUCUUGGGCUCAGCUCUUUCCUUCUCCCAUAUAGGGUUAGGGUUUUGGCCCAGAUUCGAACAUUUGGGACUUAGGGUUAGGGUUACAAGUGCACGUGCGAGGUUGGGAAGGGGGGGAGGGCAAGGCAAGAAUAAUGACGCGAAGCCCCAAAAAGAAUCUCACUGUCACUCCACACCCGGGCUGACUAGGAGGUCAAAAGUGGGAGACGGAGUCACACCACUGUCUUUGAAAAUGAGAUCUCAGCCGUCGGAUGCAGUUGAUCGGAGGGGUGGAUCGAAAGGGACUGUUUGCUUUUUGGGAGUGCUGGCUUUAUCCCAAUUCCCGAGUGCCACGCCGCUGCCAGCGAAAUUUUGGAGGAUCCGGUGUCUGGUAUGGCACAGCGAACAGGGUGCUCAGGAGCUGAUACCAUGUCGCCGUGUCUUCUUUUGCCCCCGGGGGGGGUUGGGUUCUGCCCUCGGUUCCAACGUGGACCAGGUGCAUUGGUGGCUUAAUUCCACUGUACCGGUUGAUAGGAUUAGCGAGCAGAGAAAAAACAAAGUUGCCCAGCUUGCAAUGCUUUGUGUUUUUCUGGGACCUUGCGAAAGAUGUUGGUGCGUGUACCUUGUUAUUGUCUCAUUGACAUCGACUGAUGAUCCCUGUAGGAAUACACAGCGAUUGGGCAGAAUGGCGUAUUUGGAUUUUGCCUAUAUUUUUUCUUCGUACGUGCAACCGGGGCCCAUUAAAUCAGUAGAACUCUGCAUAAGCUAUUGGCUUUUGCUGCACCAUAUAUAUUUUUGAAUCUGUUCAUUAUUUUGGUUCCAACGGUCUAGAUUUAAGAUUUCAGUCUAAGGAACCACUAGUUUUUCAAAAUAACAGCAGCAACAGCAAUAGCAAGAAAAAAAUUGAGACUUUAUAGUUUUGAUGGCUGAGAUUUAAGUUUUAUAGCUGCUAUCGUGAAAAUGAAGAUGCAUCAAAAUAAAAUACUAAGUUAUUUUGAGAAUGGAGUGGAUGGAAGGAAGCGAGAGUGAGGAUGCAAUGUAUCUUGAAUUUCUUGCAUCAACGCUUAAAAAAAAAAAAAAUCUAUUGAAUCAAUUAGGACCUUUUAAAUUUAUUUUCAAGUUGUAGUCAAAUGAUGAAAUGAAUAAGAAAACUUUUAUAAGAACACGCACUGAUUUGCAUAACUUUUACUUAGGGUACGAAAACAAAAAUGUAUUAGCCAAAUGUAUGAAUAUAUUUACAAAACAACCAUAUAUAUUUGUAAAUUUUCAAGCGACUACGAUGGUCGACGCUUUUUCUCUCAAGUAUCCCGCAGGCCUUGGCAAUAGUGUAUCCGAACUUUCCCAAGCCCAUAUAUUCUCUUGCCAUCAUGAUCACUUCCUGAGGUGGAUCGUGGAUCAUGAAAGUCAGAGAGAUAUAAAAAUCUCGAUCGUUCGACGCAUUAAGCCCAUCACACCGUCGAGGGCCGGCGAGGCGAGCUUUCUUGAGGUGGAGGGUGCAAGGGGUCCACCUUGGGGGUGCCAACGUAGAGGAAGAUGGAGAUGGAGGAUUGGGGUCCUCAUAGUCGUAGAUCAAUUAGGGGUUGAGGACGCCAUUCGAUACUGUGGAUCACACCGUCGGGGUGGGCCACUACAUCCAAGUGGACCGCGGCAGUGAAGCCAACCUGCCUCUCGGCUGAGUUCGAGUGCUUCGCUGCCAGGGGCUUCGUUGCAGGGAUAGCCGAUGGAGCAGGAGAGGGAUUGGGGACGAGGUUGAGAAGGGGAAAAGGUAGGCCCUCUCGCCGAGGAUCAUCUNNNNNNNNNNNNNNNNNNNNNNNNNNNNNNNNNNNNNNNNNNNNNNNNNNNNNNNNNNNNNGUCGCAUCCACCCUGCCCCCGUUUUGUUGUGCUCUUCGCUUGGCAAAAGCACAGCAGAGUUGGUGCAGUCCUAGGGCCCAGCCCGGCCCAGCCCGAUGGGGUUCGCCGGCCGCGCUCGAUCUCCUGUCUGCUUUUAUUUUCCCUCCGUGAAUAUCCCCCGGUCCCUCACCAUUUUUAGCCCAAAUAGUCAUUCAAAAUCUCCCGCUUGUUGUUUUCGCUCCUCUUCUCCUUCGCUAUAAUAAUACCAACCCUUUCGCCGUGGAUCCUGCACCGGCUGCCGACAUGGCGAAGCAGCACAAAGCCAAGAAGCCAGAGAAUCUAGGGAAGGGGAAGGUCACCCCCGUCCAGAUCGCCUUCAUCGUGGACCGCUACCUCGCCGACAACUACUACACCGACACCCUCUCCGCCUUCCGAGCCGAAGCCUCCGAUCUCUUCUCCAAAACCAAGAGUAAAGAGGUAUGGCCCCUGAUGCAAUCUCUCUCUCUCUCUAUAUAUAUAUCCCUAGAUAUAUCUUCUCUUUUACAUUUUUUUGCGUCUUCCGUUCGAUAGUAUCUAUUAGAUAGAUUAUUCUCAUGACUGCAAUUGGCAGGUGCCGAAAGGGUUGCUGAGUUUGGGGGAGAUUCUGGACGAGUACAUAAGCUUGAAGGAGCAGAGGGUGAUGGUGGAUCAGGAGAAGCGGAGGGUGGAGAUGGCGUUGCAAGGCAUGCAAGACGUGAUGCGGACCUACCACUCUGCUGGGAAUCCCGCUCUCCCUCCUUCUCCCCCUCUCCUUCCUUCUCAGUUUAUGGCAACGCCAGUGGCGCCGGUUCUUCCGGCCUUAUACCCUACUAGUGGGUCUCCUCCAGGUUCGAUAUUUCGACAUCUAGUUUGUACAUUGAUCAUUGCAUGCUGUUUCAUGGUCCGAACACUCUUUUUACUUGUUAGCUUCAACUAAUUUCUCUUCCAUGCCUUCCAACUGUUUGUUUUUUGUUGUAAUGGAAAAAACCCUGUAAUUAUCUAGAUAUAACAAGGGGAAAGAAUGCUGAUCAACAAUAAACAAGAAGAAAGAACCCUGCUGGAAAAUAGUCAGAAUUCUUAGGGAAAAUUAAACGAGUUGCCUUAUCAUGAAGUUCUUCAAUCCCAUUGUAAUGACUUGUCAAUUUUCUAUUCCCUUGUUCAGUUGGGUGUUGCUUAUGUCGCCGUCUGUUUGAAAGGUUAUCAGUUCUCUUGAAUGCAUUCUGUAAAAUCUUUGUCCGAGUUUAUAUCAGUGUUUAUAAAUGCAAUUUGUGAAGAUUCAGCACGAGAAUCAGUCAGGAAAUUGGCUAUACCAUUGUAAGGGUCAGCACUAGGAUCAGAGCAUUGAGGUUGCUUAAAAUAAUUAAAAGAAAUUGACAUAUUCCAAUUAAAGUGCAAUAGCUUUAUAUUGCAGUUUGUUGGAGUUCUGGGAUUUGGGAUACUACUUAUUGUCCUUCUGAGAUAAAGCUUCAUAUGCUGCCAUGUUGGAGCUGUAUCUUUCUUUUUGUAGUGGAGUCGUUUUGGUCGUAUUUGUGCAUUAUUUUUCUCAUUUUUUUUGCUGGCAUAUCUCUAUUCACUAAUCCUAGUCACGUGACAUCAGAACAGGUCUGGGGGCAGGAUAAUUUGUUACAUGAACUUGGUGCAACAAUAUUUCAGCGUAAAUUUGACUUAUGUCUGCAACUGCUAGCUAGUAUUAUCAUAUCAAUUAUACACUAUUAAAUGAAUGCUCUUCACACUUAAUUGACAUGAAGCAACUAGGAAGUGGGAAAAAAAUAAACAGUGUAUUGUCGGUUAUUUGGGGUUGCAAUAUUUAUUAAAAAAAUAUGCUAGUUCUGAUGAUUAAUGGACAAGGUUCUUAACGAUACAUUUGCUGGUCAUGCAGUGGUCAGAAACCCUGUCAUGAAUACUGCACAACAGCCCGUUGUGCUUCCGCAUAUAGAAACAGAACCUAACAAUAGUUCAACUCCAGUACAUAAUUCUUCAUCUGCUAACAAGAGGAAAGCUUCAGAGUCUGCUUCCAAGGUUCCUUCAGCUGCAAAGAGAAAGCGGACUGAACUACCAAUUAGGUCCUCCCUGGUAGAAGGUGAUAAUCAAAGUCCUAAACAAAUAAAUACCAAUUAUGGUUCCUUUCUUACAUUUUUUUUUUGUUCUUUCAGAUAAUGUGCUGAUCUCAGAUGCAACAUGCAGUCAUGAAACACAAAAAUCAGCUGUUCAGUCAACAUCCCAUCAUCUGAUGUUUAAAUCUCCAGUUCAAGGAUAUUCUGUUGAAAAGAGCUUAUUCAAUCAAUCGCCUGAUUCUCAAACUGAUUCUUCCCCUAAGACCCCUCCACAAGCACUUCCUUCUCAACCUGACAAAUUAGCCGCUCCACAAAAAAACCCAUCAUUUCAAAAGACUGAUGCGAUCAAAUCUCAGGAAAUAGCUUCAUCCAAAAUCUCCUUAGUUGCUUCUGAAACUAUCAUAGUCAGCCCUCUCAAGGGUACAGGUUAUUAUGCUGUUGAGAGGAGCUAUCAUAUGACUUCACCCUACAAAUCAAGCCCAAAGAAGCUGAGCAAAAGAGAGCAUGUAAAAGGGAAGCUGGAUUUUGAAGAGCCUGAUGUACCGGUACCAAUCAAUUCAGAAAAAACAGUUGCUGCCAACAGCUCUACCUCGUCAACAGAUGCAGAAUUGCCUGGAAGUUUUGACUUAGAUCUUCCAGAUUUUGAUAUCUUAGAUGGUGAUUUCUCCUUCUCUGAGCUUCUAGCCGACAUGGAUAUCGACUUUGAAAGGAUUCCAUCUUGCCAGCCACCCUCUGGGGAUUCAAUUCCAGGGUACAGUUUCUCUGAACCUUUUAUAUGUUCUCUUGUAUUACACUUUCCUUGUGCUAUUUUUGCAUUGUUUUAUACUUUCUAACUUGUGUAUGUUCCACAAAAUAAUACAGGCCAGGGAAUAAUUUAAGCAGUGAAUGCUUGGAAACAAAUCAGACAUUACCGGAUUCUAGUUUGUCAACAUUAAGUGUUCUUUCAGAGAAGGAAAUGAGCAUUCAAGGUAAUGAAACAUCUCUUUUAUGACAAGCUUUCAUAUCUUUACAGUUUGUGUUACUAAAAUGCUCAGCUUGUUACUCUAGAACGCACCUAUAUUAUCCCUUGUCUUCUAACAGAGUUAAAGUAUGUUUUGCUGUGCGUUUAUCUUCUAUACCAAUCAAGGUUACCUAUUCUUUUUUCCCUCCUGCUUCAUGCACACCAUCUUUAUUGGCUAAAUGGGGGCAAAAUCCAUUAUUUUAGAUCUGAAACCUUUCGUUUGAAUUUUGCCCCAUAAACUUACAAUCAUUUUCUUGGCCACCAAUUUCACACAACCAAACCUUUUACUUCGUAAGCUGUUUUUUUGAAAAAAAACAUGCAUAUUCUUUUAAAAACAUUUUUCUGGUAAUAAUGUACGAAUGGGUCACUAAGUGACUAACUGUAGGCUACACAUCUCCCUUUUGAAAUCUCUAUUGGGAAUACAAGCAGGGUUGAUCAAGAAUCAAGAUUGCUGCUGCCCCAAGGUGGAAAAUCCUUUAUUGACAAAGAAGGAAAAAAAAGUCAUAAAUAAAGUAGAACAAUUUGGAAAUGUGUGCGCGUCCUUACUGCAAGUCAGUUGUACUUGUUUGAUGAGGUUUUGCAGGAAGUCGACUAUUGGUUUGUGGCUUAAGUUGGAGUCCUUGUAUAUGAUAAAAUCCCUUACCAACAAAUUGUAUUGAAGCAACAUUUGUUUACGCUGUGUAUUGUAGAAGGUAUAUCCAUUAAAUCUCAUCUUGUUGAGUCUAACUCCAUUAUUAUGGAUAUGAAGAAUAUCGAUGUCCAAAUUGAUGAUGAAGUUCGGGCUCUUUUGUUAUUGUGUUCUUUACCUCUUUCAUAUAACUCUUUCAUAUAAGUACUUUAGAGAUACCUUCCUCUAUGGGAGAGAUAUGAUUUCUAUAGAAGAUGUUAAAACAUUUUUGCUUUCUAAAGAAUUGUUUGAAAAGCACAUUAUUUAGGAAUGCAAGUGAAGGUUAGGCAGAAGGCUUGGCUGCUAGAGACAGGUCUAAUGAAAGGGGAUUGGAUAAUAGUAGAGGUAAGUCUACAUCCAAGUCUAUCAUUGUUGUCGCAAGCAAGAGCAUAUUAAGAUUGAUUGUCAUAGGUUGAAAAAUAAGCAAUUGAAGGAUCAGAAAAAAAGGAAAAAUUCGUUAAAGCUAGUGCAGCAGAAGAUGAUUCUGGAGGUGUUGAAGAUGUUUUCUCAGUAACCAAUGGAAUUAGACCUAAGGAUGAAUGGAUUUUGGAUUCAGGUUGUUCCUACCAUAUAUGUUUUAAUAGGGAUUGGUCCUCCACAUAUGAAGUAGUUGAUGGUGGAGUUGAAUUAAUGGGCAACAAUACCCCAUGUAAAAUAAUUGGAAAAGGGAUAAUCCAAAUUAAAAUGCAUGAUGGUGUGGUGUAAAUCUUGAUUGAUGUUCAGCAUGUUCCAAAUUUGAAGAAAAAGCUCAAUCUCUUUAGGCAUCCUUGUUGCUUAUGGAUGCAAGUAUGCAGCUGAAUUUCGAGUUAUAAAAGUUAGUAAAGCUGCCCUUGUUGUAAUGAAAGGUAACUUGCAUGUACUUUAAGGUACUACUAUUAUAGGUGCAGCAGCUAUGUCUUUGUCAUUUAUGAUAUAUUCCGAUAUCACCAAAAUAUAGCAUAUGAGGUUGGGACAUGAGUGAAAGAUGGUUGGCUAUGUUGAGUAAAUGAGGUUUUCUUUGUGGCUAGAGUAUAGGAAUGAAAAGAGUGGUUUUCUUUGUCUAUUAGGCAAGCAGAAAAGAGUUAGUUUCAGUAUGUAGUUUUAUCUUAGAUUAUAUUCACUCAGACUUUUAGGGACCUUCAUGUGUUCGUUCUAAGGGUGGUGUUCGGAAUAUGGUUACAUUUAUUAAUGAUUAUUCUAGAAAAAUUUGGGUGUUUAUGUUAAAACACAAAGAUGAAAUCUUUAAGCACUUUAAUUAACAGAAGGCUAUGAUUGAGAAGUAGACUGGAAAGAAGAUCAAGAGGCUCAGAACUGAUAAUGGAUUGAAGUUUUGUUUUUAUGAGUUUGAUGGGUUCUGCAAAAAUGAGGGUGUUGGCAGGCAUGAGAUAGUUAGAUAUACGCUAAAGCAGGAUGGAGUGGUUAAGCAUAUGGACAGAAUCCUCUUGGAGAGAGCUCGUUGUAUGCUCUCAAAUGCUGGCUUGUCAAAGGAUUUUUAUGUAGAGGCGGUUUAGUUCCUUUGCAGCAUAGCUCUUCUUCUUAGCCUGGUUCAGAAUUGGUGCCUGGUAUUACUGAGGCGAAAGAAACAUCAUAGGAUGGGAAGUACAGUAUUGCUAAAGGCAGAUAGAGAAGAGAGAUUAGGCUACCUCAAAGUUGUUUCUUGUGUUUGAUUCUACUAAUUCGUUAGUUGCUAUUGCAAGAGGAGAACAAGCCUCUUCUAGUGGCCAAGUUCAAGCAUUGCUUGGACUUGAUUGAUGUAUGCAGCACUUGAGAUUUGUCUUUUGGGGCUUAUGUGGAGAAGGUAGAGAGAUGUUUUACUAUUUUGUGGUGUAGCUUGAUAAAAUUCAAAUCAAAGUGGAGAUUUGUUAAGGAUGCCUUGAAUUUCUUGUUCCAUCUUGCUCUAUGAUUUUGUUUGAGAAAUUUGUAGUAGCGUCGAUAACAAUCGUGUGAAGCAUGGCAUUGGCCAUGGCUCAUGCUAGUCGCACUUCCUGGCUGCAUGGGAUGUGGAGAUUGGAAAGCGCGUGAUGUGAGAACGGAGAACUUGAGCAAUUCUUUUGGUAUGUAUCUAUUUUUGUUUUGUUUGGAAAGUUUGAAAGUUGGGUGUACUAGGAUUAGGGUUUUAUUGAGAUGGCUUUAUUCUUAUCCAAUCCUUUUGAUAAUGGAAUCUCUUUUCCAUCCUCUCCUGCAGAUGUAGGCUUGUGGCCAGUCCACGUAAAUUUGUGCAUGUUGUAUUUUUUUUUAAUCUCUAUCUUCUCGAAUCUCUUUGUUCUUAUCUUUCAUCAAGAUCCAUCAUAACACUUUUCAUUUGCUUCUUAAGUAAAAUUUUGUUCUUCCAGUUCUUAUCUCUGAUCAGUACUGUAUUCAAUGUCAAUAGGUUCUGAUACUGCAACCUCAUUAAGAUCUAUAACGAGGUGCAUCAAAAUUGUAAGUCCUGGUAAGUUGUUGUCUAACUGUUUCUCUCUUUGAAUUUAUGCUUGGUUUUGGAAUCGCUAUUUUCAUUCAGGGACAUUCUGAUAUGAAUUUAUUUGCAGUUAAAAGCAGGAGAAAUUGUUCUCUGAGAGAACACCAUUCACCAGCAAAAGCAUAACUAGUCUGCAUCUGGUCAUAAAUCUGACUUGUGUUUUUAAAAUGUUAGUGAUGAGAGCUGAUUCCUCCAUUUUCUAACCCAACUGUUUUUGCCAUUUAGUUAUUGAUUUAGCCCGCUGUAUAUAGGUAGGCCACUGUUAUCCCAUCUUGUGAGCCUAUUUAUGGGCUCUGUUGUGCUUUCUAAUUUAAAGAAUUUUAAAGUUGAUAACCCAUAUUUGGAGAAUCAUUUUUUCUAAUUAUGAAUUGAAUAAUCUCAUGAGCCUAUUUUGAGAUUUCUUGCUAUCUCAAUUGAAUAAAAUUAUUGUUCAGUGAAAAUAAUGUGCUUGUUUUCAGAAAAGGAGCAAGAAUAUUAUCACAGGCUGUUCACUUGAGUUUAACCAGAAUGGACAAACCAUUGAAUCAUCUAUAUUGAAUAAUUCAUAUUCUCGCAACAAUGUUGAAAUGUGACAGGAAUAACUGAUUGUGAUUGUGGUGCAAAGAGUAUUCUAAGAAUUUAUAGUUUGCAAUGCAUACUUUGUAAAUGCCUCUGGGAAUUUUAUUGUGUAAUUAGUCCAAGCAACCCUUGAUCCCUUAGUGUAUCACCACCAACUUCUUCACCUUCUCCCCUUUUUCCACACUUUCAAUGGACAGGAACUUUUUGAUGAAUCAAUCAUUUUAGUAACCGACAAAAUAAUGAUGAAAAAGGAAAGUAACAAUUAUAGUUCUAAUAAAGUUAGAAUCGAUAAAGUCCUAUCCUAUAAUUUGAGUUGAUUGGUAGAAGGGCUCAUGAAUGCUUAAAGGUCCCUGUCACUUCUGAUGUGGCAUUAGAGUUAAGAGUUGACAAACGUCGGCCCAAUGCCCAGUAGGCAGGCCCAUGAGUACUUAAACGACCCAGGGUACCUACCACUUUUGAUGUACGAAUAAAGUAGGAAUUGAUGAAAUUCCCUACAAUUGCUGAUGUGAGACUAAAGUUGAGAUUUGAUAAAGUCCGGCCCAAAAUCUCCAGUCCCUUCCACCAUCUCAAGCCCUUUAACACUUCUAAUGUAGGAAUAAAGUUAGAACCGAUAAUGCCCCACCCAGGUACUCGAGUCCUGCUGUGGGUACUUGUAAAUCACAACGGUCCAUCGCUUCGAUCGUGGGAAUAAAAUUCGAGUCCUAGAUAUCUGAAUUAGAGCUGAUCAUAGGUCGAGCUUCAGCCUAGACUCUAUUUAUUUUUAAUCGAGCUUCAGGUCGGCUUUAUAUGCAAUUUGACAUUUUAUGUGUCCAAGCCCGGCCCAUAAUUAAUUUUAGCUUGAAAACAAGAGUUCUUACCAUUUCAAAUGUUAAAGUAAAGUUAGAAUUGAUAAAGUUUUCUAUAGAUCAUUAUACUUGAUCUGGUUCAUUUUAGGUAUUAUGAGGAAGACUUGGUGGUACUUGCAAUGUCUAGUUUUGGUUGCAGAUUCUAUGAGAGUUUUCAUGUUGCUGUCCGCUGUUUUUCGUAAGCUUGACGGUUUUUCUUCCUUUCUCAGUCCCGAUAGGCUCCAUUUGUCUUCAUCCUCUACUCUUUUUUUUUUUCUAACUUGUCUCCUUUUUUUUUGAACUUUUUUUUUAGCAAUCUUAUUUUCUUCUCCUGAUUAAUGAUUGCAAUGAGAUUUAUAGUCAACCGUUAAUUAAACAUGAUUUUGGGCUCGGAUAAUUUGACUUUUUUUCAGUUUAGGGUCAAUCUGCAAUUCAGGCAACCAACCAAUUAGGGGACAACGCUAUUUUAGGGACGGGGAUGCAUGGGAACGCCCGCACAGCACCGUCCAUGCCGCCUCCGCGCAACUGCAGCCGUUCGUACAUAAACGACCAUGUUGCAUUUGGGUGCAUGCAAAGUGCCACGGGAGGGAGUUCGACGCCACGAAGGGUGUCUCACACGUGUUCAUAAGCGGCACCAUUCACGGAAUUGGAUGCCCCUAAUUAGGAACCCAAAUAUAGGUCAUGCUAACAGCCCUAUUUGGUACAUGAAAAAUUCUCUCCCUCAAGGAUGCUGAGUUAUAAUAAUAUUUAUAUUAAUUAUCUUAAAAUAUCUAUAUAUCAUACUUAAUGCUUGGUUCCUUAAUCUUUUAUAAUUUAAUAAUAAAUAAGGCAAGGUUUCCACUUCAAACAAAUAGGCAUACGUUCAAAAUAAAUUUAUAAACAUAAGAUAUUAUAUUCCUAGAGAAAAGUUAAAUUUUAAUGUUUAUUUCUUAUUGGACCGGUUCCAUCAUCACCCACAAUUGUUUUGUGGUUUUUGUGUGAGAAAUCUUAGAAUAUAUGAAAUUAUAAUUGUAUAUUAGAUAGAGAUUUAUUUUAAAUUUGAGAUGUCAUACUUUCCAUUCCCUGGCCAAGGAAUCAAUGAAUCGUGUCGUAAUUAUAUGAGUGUGCAAAUGUUAUUGAGCAGAAGUUGAUCAACUGAUUCAAGCGGUCCUCCAAUAGAUCUGCCCAGCUUCUUUUGAAGAUUGUUGCGGAUGUUGAGCUUGUUUAGUAGAGCCAUCUAGCGGAAGUACUCUGCUUCUGCUAGAGUUUGAACUGAACUGUUGAGGUCAGACAAAAUCCGAAGUGAAGUGGUGAGGUUGGUUGUUCGGAUUUCAAGCGGAACAAUUAAGCUAGAGAGAUUUAUGUUGACAAUGACUGAGCUUGAACUUGGGUGUAGAAGCUUGCCUGGCAUGACCUAUCCAAUCUAAAAAUAGAAAAAGAAGUCUAUUUGUUGGAGUUUGUUUGGAGGCAGAACUUCCGAUGUUUAAGUUAGCCCUAUUUUGAUGAAAUAGGUAAAAUUUCAGAGAGCUGCAAAAUGUGGGAGUGUGUGAGUCUGAGAAGGCGUAUUUGGAAGUCCUUCAGUGGCCCCUUAUAUAGAGAGAGGUUGACGUCUGUUAUCAUCUUGUCGAGUCAGGCAGAAGUGUACCUUAACUGCUCGGUAAUGGUUCCCAUAUUGUGCACUUGAUGGAUUUUAACCCUGUUGAAUGUGCGGUAACGAUCGAUCCACUCGAGAUGAGCUGCAACCGCUCCUUAGUUGGCAAGAUUGUGAUUAUGUCUUUAAUAGUUGUUAACGGCUUUGAAUAUGUUUGAAUUGGAGAUACAUGGCUUAUUGCCGCUGGUCGGUCAAUCCACUUUGAUUGGCUUGAUGAUUCAAGUCGAUAGUUCGGUCAACAACGAAGUCAAUGGUUCGGUCAAUUGUCGUGGCUGGUGGCUCGUGGCUCGUGGCUCGUUCGGUUGCUAAGACUGGCAGCUCGGUAGAUGCCCAAGUCAUCUCUUUGAUUAGAUGCCGAGAUCAAAUUGAUGAAUAUAUACCAUAUCACACUUAUAUUUUUUGGCACUUUUGCUAUUCACAACGUGGUGGCAUGAUUUCAUUCAACUCCUCUGGAGACGAGGAAGCGGGAGAUAGAAGCAGUGGAAAAACCUUUUGUCUCAUUAGGCCUCCAAAUCACUUUGUACGGCUCCUAAUUAAGUUGGAGGUUAGCUAGAAGAGACAAGAUGGAGUAAAGCUCCUCUAGCUCUUCGAGUGCAGGCCGAGAUAUUAUUGCAGGGGCAGGAUGUUGCCUGUUUUGUUCCUGCGAAGGAGGUAGAGGUUAGGAAAAAUAGUUUUCAAGAGAGCUUCGCGAAGCCAAACGUCCUCCCAAAAUAGGGCUCUAAGCCCAUUACCAAAGACUAAAACCUCUUUUGAUGACUUUCAUCCGGCUGCCCAGCAGAAAGACUUUUAAGUGAUAAAACUCUUGGCUGAUGGUUCCCGAAUCUAUUAACGUUGACUGGGCCCAUAGAUGGGUCCUUAGGAGAAAGGGAUUGGCAUUUGUUGCUGCUAGGAUCUAGGCCGCGGUCAGUCACCGCUCAAGCAUGUGCUGAGGUUGGCGAAGACCGAGGUAUACCAAGGUCGGUUAACAUCGAUGCACGAUAGGGCCGUUCAAACUUUCGGCGGACGUCUCUUCGAUGCUUAAGUUAAUUGAAAUCUAGAGCAAUAAUAGAAGAAAGAUAAAAUGAGUACGGAGGGGUGCUCUACAAAAAAUAUGAGCUUAAUAUCUAUAUAUUGGAUGAGAGCGGUGCUACCUUAUUUGUUAGAAAGCGUCAUAACCGCUAUAAAUGGCUAAUUGUGGAUUAACUUUCCGCAAUUGAUAGCAUGUGGUGAUAAUUGCAUAUCUUUAUUGCGGGUGUAACCUAUGCUUCGAUCAUAAUUGCAACUCAUUAAAUGAUCUUCGGCAUUACUUCUAGGCAAGACAAAUUAGAAUGGCGCGCCACGCCGGCCAAUACUGAGAUCGGAACAACCUGAAGCUAGGAUGACUCGUUGUGUCAUGAAGGCGUUGGCAAGGAGGCAUGACGGGAGAAGAAUUGCGGGUCACGGGCGACGAAAAGACAAGGUGACUGAAAUCUCAUUUAGCAUCAGCUGGCGGGUUGUAAACCCUAAUUAAGUUAACCAACUGCUAAAUUUGGCAGCGCACAAGAUGGCUGGUUUAUAUAUCGUUUCCAUUAUGAAUGGUCCUAACGAGGCGUCUAACCGGGUCCAUACCAUCCGCGUUCUCACCAUGAUCAAUGUUCAUACCGAAGCCUAUGCUUGAAAAGUCCAAUUUUAGAAUCAUUUACUUGGACCAUGUUUAAGUAACGAACAAGGUAGGUUGGCGAGAUAAGUCAACAAUGUCAAUUUCUGAUCCCCCGAACUUCCACGCCAAGCAACAAAAGGGUACCAUCAGGACCGUCCCAUCGUUGGGUCAGUAGGAAUGAGCCGAUCGUCCAUUGGUUUGGGUGGACCCAAGUACUUGAAACCGAAGCACCGGAGGGAAGUUUCACGGCACUUGACUGCGUCAAACCUCCCCCGUAGAAUCCCAAACCUUCGAGCCUUCCAGCACGCCCGUCCGUCCGUGACCACAAACGCAGCCAUCGUGUAUAACACGGUGUCCAAGUGUUUGAAAGGACGCAUGAGACGGCGGCUAAGGACGUGGCUUCUCUCCCAUCCCGGUCUGCCAUUCCAUCCAACUCGUGCCCGACAGGCAGGUAGAAAAAAAAGUGCGUCUUGCUACAUGUCAGGUGUCCAUUUGUUGGAAUGGUUGUACGCCGCGUUCGCAGCGAAUGAUGUCCCAAGUCCCAACCAAUACCGCGUUAAUAAUAAGAGAGGGAAAUAAUAAUAGGUGGUAAAGUUUAAUGACAGAGAUGGCGCUGCAGAUGAUGCGUGCUCUUCGCGUCGAGCUAAAAAAGUGGGGAAAAAAAAAUAAAGACCGUUGACGCCGGAGUCGUGACCUUGCAAGAACCCAGCACCUUUUCCUUGCCCCUCACCAAUCUAUCACCAUUACGUUCCUUCCUCAUUCCCACAAGAAAAAAAUAAAACCAAACGACAAUCGGGUAACAUUCCCCCUAGAAUCCAGUCAGCAAAAUCCAGUUAGAGGAACAACAAAGGGGAUUCCAUUCCACCACCCAAGAUGAUGGCCUUCCCCCUCCUCCUCCUCCUCCUCCUCCUCCCCUCCGCCUUAGGUACGUACGGAGGACCAGAUUCAAACCCGUCUUUCUCAUGCUCUAUUUUUCUAUCUUUUGAUGGCAAGCGAUGUCAAGUAUCGAUAUGUAUGUGAUGGUGGUUGUGCAUGACAGCGGGGGUGAUAUGCGAGGAUUUGCCGCAAGACCUGUGCGCAUUUGCGAUCUCGUCGUCGUCCAAGAGGUGCGUUUUGGAAACCAUCCCGCGCAAAGGGGGCCCCACCAAGUACCAGUGCCAGACGUCGGAGGUGGUGGUGGAGCGGAUGCCGGGUUGGAUCGAGACUGAUAAGUGCGUAAGAGCGUGCGGCGUCGACCGUAAUUCCGUUGGGAUCUCCUCCGACUCGCUUCUCGAGCCGCAGUUCACCGAGAACCUCUGCUCCCCGGCGUGCCACCAGAAUUGCCCCAACAUCAUCGACCUCUACUUCAACCUCGCCGCUGCCGAAGGUAAGAGGCAAACAAGAAAAACGACGUUUCCGUUUUAUUACUCAAACUUAUCGGUGCCUCACAUGAAACCAAGUUUUUGUUACUUUCACGUUGGUCAUAGCGGCGUAGGAGCGUCAAAGGAAAUGAAACGUGGUAAGGGAAAGCGAAAAGAGAAAAAAGCACACACAAAGGAAUCGAUCUUUUACUUUUCUGACCUUUUCUUUCUUUUCUGAUUCCCUUAAGACUUGGGAAUUGAGAUAACAUGGAUGACGAACCUAAUGCCCGGGAAUCAGGUCCUGGUUCGACAAAUUUGAGAUCUCCUUGUACACCCGGGAUAGGUUUGGGUUGAAAGAAAUUCACCACAACCCAAGCCAUCGAAUCUGGAACGUAUAAUUAUUUAUACAGUUUCUUUUGGACACAACCGUUGGGAAUCCAGCGUGUUUGCUUCUAAAUAUUUUAGUUUUGGGAAGCUGGCUGAAGGGAUCCAAUUCUUGGGCUCCAACAUAGGCUUCAGCUGUCAAGAGAGGCGUAUUACCCAACACGAUCUAACCGGCCCAAUGGGCUAUCGUUCGUGGAAACUCGUUGCAAGGCUCCUAUUGGACUGUACUGCUGUGGGAGGCCUAAUCUGUGAACGGGAGAUUAAUUAGGCUCCUAGCUCAAUAUUUAUAACUGUUAGUGACGAGUUAAGAAUUUCCUUUUUUUUUUGUUAUGUGUGUGUGUGUGUGAUACAAAUUGGAAAUAAGGAAAUGAGUGGUAUUUGACGUUAUGGUGGUAUCAAUGUGUAACAGAUGUGUUCCUGCCCGACUUGUGCAAGGCUCGACAAGGAAGAAAUCCACGUCGGUCAAUGUUGAUUCUCCGCUCUGGGUUUAAAACACCAGUCCUUGCCGAUGGAGGGGAUGCGGCUAAAUUGAAUGUAGCAGCUGCACCAGCUUGAUUUUAUUUCUUUUCUUUGAUAGCAAGAUUAUCGAGUAAAUUAGAAAAUUCCUCAUGAGGUUUAUAUUCAUUAUACUUGCAUCCAAUAGUUUAUAAAAGCUAAAUUUAUAUUCAGUUAAAUUAAUGGCAUUGGUUUAUCUCCUUAUAAAGCAUAAUGUGCGGCAAGUAUUUGAUCAGUUGCUGAGUUGUUGGCAGAAAUUCAGAUGCCUCAUACUUUGGCUACUAAUUAUCUAGUGGCUUUGAUUGGAUGUAGAGUAUGUCAUGGUUUGGUUUCUUGAGUAAAGAUUUUAAUUCUUAUUUUUGUAUUUAUAGUGACUAAUAUUAAUUUGUUAGACCUUUUGGUUUGAAUUUAUAGCUCAGGAGGACUAAUAUUGACUCUACUUUUCAUUAUCUCAAUGAAGAUUGAGUGCCUCCUCCCCCUCCUCAAACGGAUGUCAAGCACAGAUAGCUAGGCUGAAAAAAAUAUUUGCAGCCAUGAUUCUUAUUGCAGCAAUUGAAAUUAUAGGCACCAAACAUCCCCUAAUCAAUGGAUGCAUAUCUAUGUCCUUUUACCUUUGGAUUCAUAUUCAGAUAUUCAUUUCCAAUUCUUUUGAAAGUAACUAAAGAAGUCUCAGUUGUUGGACUGGGAAAACAUCAAUAUGAUGAUCUAGGGUAAAUUUAGGAUUUCAUAAAAGGCUCUGAUGAUGACUAGCUAGUGUCUAUGACGUUGUCCUAGCUUAAAUUCAUUGGCCAUCAGGAGAUCCUUGAUUCUAAUUUAUUCCCUUAACAUGCAAAAAUCCUAGUGCAAAGAUUAAUCAAUUAAUCUAUUCUAUAAAAGAUCGAGGACUAGAAUCACCUCGAUCGAUCGGGGCUUGGGGCUGGUCGGUCGGCGCCAGAGAGAAGGGAGGAGGAGAAGAUCCUCGGAUGGAGGUGAAGCUUGAUCAACGCUUGAGGGCCAAUCGGUCGGAGCUGGAGAGAAGGGACGAGGAGAAGAUUCUUGGAAAGAUCCUCGGGCGGAGGUGAAGCUCGCUCGAGGCUUGAGGGUCCGUCGGUCGACGCCGGAGAGGAGGAAGGAAGCUUGAGGGUGGAGGCAGAGCUCGUGCCGGAGAAGAGGGGCUAGGGCUCGAUCGGAUGGGUAUUCGGGGAGGCGGAGAAGCGGAAAGGAGGCCAGGCUAGGGCUCAAUCUCGGAUGGGUCGUAUUUGGGGAGCAGACCACCGACGUUUCUUUAAAGUGUGACAAUUUUUGGCGCCGGGGCCGUUUUCUUCCGACGCGUGUGACUAGCGUUGGCAAAAAAAGGUCGGUUUUUCCCAAUUUAACUGUAGUGACCUCAUGCAAAAAGUCAAAAUUAUCUUUGGACAGGGAGGAGGAUGCCAUACAUUAUCUUAUAUUAUCAAGUUAUUGGGUGUAAGUACAAUUUACCCCUAAUCCUAAAGGGGUUGUUGUAAUGUACUCGCGGUUAUUUGUUCUGUGGAAUUAAAAAAAAGAAAACAGAGACCUAGGAUUCUUUGUUUGCUGAGUAUACGAGUUAGUGUCCGUUUCUGAGGAAUGAUCAGAUGGUUCUUUAGUUUGUUAGAUAAUGGCAAGCAUUUAAAACCUUCACACGCCGGGCUCCUUACAUGCGUGUGGCAUGAUAUCAAAUAUGCUAUCCAGCCUUAAAACGAACCCCUUGUUGGUCAGUGCUAUGACUGAAGUUUAUUUGAUAAGAUUUUGGCAAACAUUUGCAUUGUUAUGUGAUUGUCUUGCGGCUUAAGACUUGAUUCGGAAACAUCCUGGUAUCAAAAUACAACAAGAAAAAAAAAACAUGGGAACGAACGGAGAAAAGAACAAAAAGUUCUUAGGGAUGGUGAGACGAUUCGGUGGCAUUUCCGUAAGAUAGAAUUAAUGUUCCCAUGCGAUCCCUUGCGGGGACGGUGUCCCAGUUUUUGAAUUUUAGCCUCGGUCCAAACCGUGAGGCCUGACGAGGCCCAUGGGGGCAAAUGGUCCUCUUGUGCAAACAAAUAAAUAACAGUAACAGCCUAUACUAGCGUAAGGAGAGAUUUUGUUUUGAAAAAUAAAAAGUUAAAAUGAACUUUUGAGACUGAAAUUUGAGGGUUGCGAGCAGAGGUGCUACUGUGCUGAAAAGUGAUCCAUAUGAAUCACCGGACUCAAUAUGGAUUAUUUUUGUCACUACGGGUAUUUUAGAAAGAUCAUCAAAGUCGAUGUGGAUCACUUUAGCCAUUACGGAUAUUUAGGAGGAUCACUAAAUUCGAUGAGGAUCAAUUUGGUCACUUUAGGUAUCUAAGAUGAUGACCAAUUCGAUAUGAACUAUUUUAGCUACUAUAUGUAGGAUCAGACAACGUCCAAGAGCAAGAUCUGCCACACUAGGAAGCUGAGUCACGAACUAAACUUUCAGAGAUCAUAUGAUGGCCACUUGAGAUAAGUUUUUUAAAAAACUCGUACAACAUUUUGAGAUCUACCGUUCAGAACCAAACCCCUGAGAGGUUAAAACAUAAUAAAAUUUCAUCAUUUGAGUUCCGAAAUUGGUUAGUCAAACGAAAAAUUUACGUUUUGGGAAAGACUUUGACCAAGCCUUUCUUCCGAUUUAUGAAAAAUUAGAUAGAGUGAUAGAGGGCAAAGUUGAUAUAUAAGUCGAAAUCUAUUGCCCGUAGAAUUUUAUUUUUUUUGUGAUUAUUUCUAUUAGUUAUAUUAUUUUUGAAAAUCUAGAACUAUUCAAAUUAAGAGAGAAAUCCGAUCCGAAUUGUGCAAGAGACGAUCUUACUACUAUUUUAAAUAGGAGUUAUGUAUUUCAGUUUAUGAUGUGUGGAUGAUCAAUAAAAGAAAAGAGGACGUAGACCUUAUUUUUAAAAAAAUUUCAUCAUUUUAAAUUUUUGUAGGGAUAUAAGUUGAGUUGGUUGAGGAAACUCUUCUUUCUCCUUCAUCGGAUCAAGUUGAUACAAGAGUCAUGCUCUUGUCUAGUUAAAUCUAACUUGAUCUAGCUGGAUCGGGUUGGUAUCAAAGCUUCGGUCCUCUAUAUCUAUAGGAGCUUUAGUGCAUGGUCUAGACCCAUAAGUAGUACAAGGAGUCGAAAGAAAUAUUUUCAGUGGUUAAAUUAUAUCGACAGAUAAAGACAAGUAUGGUUGCUAGUUUUACUACGAUAGAUGACAAGAUAAAGAAACAUCUCACAAACUAGAAGGGAAGAUUGGCCAACUCACCAAGAUCAUAUCUUGAUUGGCAACCCCUUCAACACAAGCAUCAAUAACUCUUGUAGCAAAACUGUCUCCCACGCCUAGAGAUGAGGAUCUAUUAUCUAGCAAGGUAGGCUAAGAUCAAAAACCAUUUUUAAGCAUAGUUAAUUAGUUUAGUCACGAGGCCAAGAAGCACGUAUUUUUCUACCUUCAAUUCUAAUUUAGCAGAAGCUAUAUCCUCUAAGUAGGAGGAACCCUGAUCCAUGUGGAUCACCUGACUUGAUGUGAAUCACUUUGGCUACUAUGGAUAUACAGGAGGAUCACCAGACUCGAUGUAGACUAUUUUAACCACUAGAGGUAUUCAAUAGGAUCACCAAACUAGAUGUAGACUAUUUUAGCCACUACUAGAUAGAUAGGAUCCAUGAGUGAGAUUUGUCACAUGAAAAAUUGAGUUGCGAUCCAAACUUUCGAAGGCCAUAAUUGGGCCAUUAGAUGCCCGAUUGAGAUAUUUUUUUUCCAAAUCGGGUAACAUUUCGAUCUACAAUUUAGAGACAACCUCUAAGGGGAUUAAAAAGGACUGAAAUUCCAUCGUUUGAACUUCGAAACAAGUUGGUUAAAUCAAAAAUUUUCUUUUCUGAAAAGAAUUUAGUCAAGCGUAUCUUCUAAUCGAUAAAGAAUUAGACAAAGAGACAGAAGGUAUAGUUGAGAUCUACCUUCUACAUAAUUAAUUUUUUUUUGUAAUUAUUUCUAUUAGUUAUAUUUAUUUUUAGAAACUUAGUUCUAUUUAAAUUAGGAGAGGAAUUAAAUCCUAAUUGUCCAAGAGUGGAUCUCACUACUAUUACAAAUAGAGGUUAUAUACCUCAAUUUAUGAUAUAUAGAUGAUCAGCGAAAGAAAAGGGGAUAUAAAUUCUACUUUCGAAAUUUUUUUAUCUUUUUUUUUUUUUGUAAAGAUUCGAGUUGAGUGGGUUGAAAAAAUUCUUCUCUUUCGGAUUGAAUCAAAAGGAAUGCAGUAUGAGGGUAGGAUAACUCCACAAACCAGAGCCCACUUCAAAUUUCCAAUGAGAAGCCAUUGACUGCAGGCCACAAUUAGCACAGUUAUGUUGCACACUCCAACAUGCUGCCUUCCAUCACUUCAUCCUUCUCCACUCUAAUAACUUUAAUUCCCAAAAAAUGCAGUGGGUUGGCACUGAAGUUCUUGAUGCCUACAUGGAGCUGAUGUAGUACCUUCCCGACCUCCUUUAAGUUGUGCCAAUGUCCGGGCCGGAAUCCAUGGCAUGCAUGAAUGAUCGGCAUCCUGUAGCAUUUCUCUAAUAAGUUCUCAACAAUGGUGGAUGUAAGAUAUUUAUCAAAGAGUUGUGGCAUGUCCUGGUGCAGCAUAAUAGGCCAAAACAUAGUAUAAUAUCUCAAAUUCGUACAGCUAAACAUCAAAAUGAGCUGCUGCAUAUCAAUGCAUCCAAGAUAUUAGUUCAAGUUCUAAUUAAUAUCUAUAAAUAGCUCUUGCACACAGCGGCUAUGGUUGCUCGAUCAGUUGCAAGAAUCCACAUUUCUUUGACUAGCCUCAAAACUUCAUCUCAAACAACAAAUUACAUGGUUAGUUGCCACAAAUCCACCUUUUAAGAGACCAAAAGUAGGAGACCAUCUCAUGACAAUACUGGAUGACUCCUUCGUGGAAUGUCGACCUAAACUAAUCCCCUCCGUCAUGUACUUCAUUCACCUUUAACUAAAAUAGGUGUCCACAAUUCAGUCACCAAAGAUUUCAGAGGCCUAUGUUAUGGUGCUUAGAACAACUGCACUCGCAAAUGGUUCAUAUCAACUUCCCAGGGUCCGUACUAGUUCCCAUGUUGCAGGAGGGUUUUAACUGCCUGUAAGAAGUAGCUAAUUUAUUACUGAAAGCUCUAAAAUGUCAAAAGACCUCUGUCUGUCCAAUUUGUUUUGUCGUCAAAUUUCAGUAUCACCAAAUGCAAAAACAUCGGCUCACCCCAGUUCCUCGCUCCCUCCAAUCAGUAAAGUGGAACAGCACUAUAAUCGUUUCAGAGAAAUUUCUCUAAAAACAAAAACUGCAUCAGGGCUUUAUGUGUCACCCAGAACUUCAAUGUGCAUCCUAGUUCUUAAACAUAUGUUUUUGUUGAUCAAGAUUACAAGAGGACAUAUGUUCUCAGAGAGAGAGAGAGAGAGAGAGAGAAGUAAACUCUUUGCUGACCUAGAAUGGGAUCCUGAUAUGCAACACCUUUCAGAUUCAACUAAUUGCUGAAGAAUAGAGGUAAGAUGCAUGCAAAAAUUUGAUAGUUGGGAAAAUGAUUAUCUUUUAUGUUUGAUGUCUAACUUGGGAGAUCUUUUUAGGAGUUGUCUACAAUUAAUUCAGUGCAUGUGUGCAUCCUAACUUUUCAUCAGUACGCAUCAUUCUAGGCAAUUCUACUUCUAUGAUGAGCGUGCUAUUCAGCACCUUCACUAUAUAUCAAUCCUUGUAGACAAACAAUUAGGUCCACAUGCCACAGGCUCAAUUCUGACGUUUAUCUACAAAAAUAAACAAAAUAAGAUAAGAAAACAAUAACUCUAGCAAAUAUUGUUCUGCAUCAUGAAAUCAAUUAAAUUAAGUUGUCACAACGAAUUAAUAAACCACUUGAGGUAUCAAAACAAGAAGUACAAGACAUCCAUAAGAUGUGAACUGAAAUAUAAAACCGUUUAGUGAGAAUCUUUAUGAAAAAAAAUUAUCCUGUGAGAAAAUAAAGAUCAGCAAUUUGCCAUCACCAGAUGACUCCAGCUACUCUUGAGAAUUGCUUCUUGUAAAUCUGUCAUGAUGGAAGCACAUCAGCAGACUGAGACUCACAGCCGAAGUUGUGGUCGCCCUCAGUGGCUUUUAAACAUCUCUCUUUUUGCUAUCCUCAUCUUUUGUUCAUAUUUUCCUUCUACAGAAAAUAUGAUUUAGCCAAGAUAAGAAGAAUGAAAUAUUUUGCAUCUAUGUACUUCUUCAGAAAGCAAAAUAACAAAGCAUGCAAUUUCUCUUCUUUGUAUGGAAUCUGAGAUCCAUCUCAGUAGUAAGGAUGCAAAGAAUGUAGAGAAUGAUAUCUGGUAGUAAGAACGGGAACACAGAGGUCUGUAGUGAAGCUAACUGGUUUGAACAAGGGCUGUCUUCAUCUUCCUUGGAAUAUAAUGAUGAAUAAUGGAGAGAAACAGAAAGAAGGAGGAGAACCGUAGGAAAUGACAGAUGGCUGCUGACAGAAAUGGCUAGAGGAGGGAUCCAAAAGGAUCGCAUGAUCCGGGUUCCAUUGCCACCAAAAAAUGCCUGUAAAAAACGGAUCAAUGCGAUCCCUUUGGAUGCUCCCUCGUGCCACAGACGCUACAAUCAACGCAGCAAAAUUUUCUUUCUCCAUCCUCCUGAAUACCCUAACAACAAACCACAAACAUAACUGUGGAGGUGUUCUGCAAGAGCACUUAAAUUGUAAGGAAGGAUGACCCCUUUUAAAGGCUCUCUCUCUCUCUCUCUCUCUCGGUAUCUUAAUAGCUCAAUACAGUUGCUUGAAACAUGCUUAACAUGAUGUAAAUUUACCAAUAUAGCCUCACAAGUAGGGGAAAAUCUGCUGCUGUCCCAUGGAAAGGUUUAGAUUUUGCAGUUAAUGUAUAUCGACUAAUGGAAGAAAGAAGGAAAAGCAUUUAUUGAAUGAUGAAAACCCUUUCCUUCUAACCUCCAGAUGUAUCAUCUCAAUUGAUUUUUUCUUUUUAAUCCAAUCUAAAUUUAACAAUAAGUAUGGUUUAGUUAGUGUCAUAUUAUCUCCCGUUUAGCUUUCUUGGUUGCAAAGUGGUUAGUUACAGUAAGAUAGUUUUCUCUUUCAUUUGAUUGCAUGAUUAAAACUUCGAGAAAUCUGUUUUGCUUUAUGAAAAUUAAAGAUGGGACAAUAAGCCGUCGGGCCAGAGUGCAAAGUAAUUGAAAAUAAUGUUAGUGUCAUUGGUAAAUCACAUGAGCAAGCAUAAGAAGCAUGACGGAGAGAUGUUCGACUUCAAUCAUUGUGCUAUUCAUAUGAUCAUUCUCCCCCAUCCUCUAUUUGCAUACCCAGUCUUCUGUUGCUAUUAUCCUAAAAGAGUCGAUAGACUGUGGUCCUAUACCAAUGACCAGCUAGCUAGGGUUGAGAUACAUGCUGCAUAUUAGCCUUAACAGAUGAUAAUUACCCUUAAGCUCAAGCUGUUAAACUAAAAGAGGGAAAUAUUAUAACUACCCUUGACAACCUAUACCCAUGUGUAACUGUUCCCUAAGUGUGCACCUUUUUAAAGAGACUAAUCUAUAAAGCCUGUUUACCCUUGGUUAAAAUAUGGCAUCCUGGCUCCACCAUAUCUAUUGUUUACAAAUUAACCACUAAACUAUGUUUCUCUUAAUGUCGUUAUUGUAUGUUUAUUAUUUUAGAGUGCAUAGUCAAGAAUUACAUGAACAAAUGGCCUCGAAAAUUUUAUCCAACCAUAGAAUAUCGGAAUGCCAUUUAUUACGUACGUUUUCUUCUUUUUUUUGAGAGGAGUUUAUUGCAUAAUAUUAAUUCUUUGAGUGCUCCGCUUCUUUGUGGGGGUCAUUAUCAUCAAACAAUACCUUUUUCCAAGACAGGAUGUAAUUCUUUGGAAUGAUUUGAAUGCUGUGAGGAAGAUGAUCGUUAUUGUCAGUAGUUCACCCCAUCAAAUAACUGAGAUGGAAAAUGCCAUUGUUUUACAGAUUGGAACUUUGAGGACGUAUCUUUGCUCCUUUCUUUCAGUUCCUAAAUUUAGUUGAAACAGUAAAAUGAGAUAAAUGGCGAUGGCCUCGUUGUGGGAGGAUUCAUGGUAUACAUGUUUGGCGCAUCACAAGGGCAGAUCACUAAGGUUGGUUCUCUUGUCUCCUCUACUGGACAUAAGUGCUGGCUUUAACCCCCUCGUCACCCAACUAUAGUAACACUAGAGCUCACUGGAUGCAUGGAUCCUGUUGCCCACAACUGAAAUCAUCUCCCGUUAACAUAUCAGUAUUAUCAAAACCCCAUCAUAUCUCUACUGCUACGUCUCUCCAUAUGGUGAAGAAUCUUACCGAAGUUCACCCCCAUUUGGUUCCAGCAAAACAGACCCCACUUGUCUUGCCACAUGCUCUGCAUCAAGUCCUUGUUCUUGAAUACAUUUGGAAGAUGACCAGCAGAUGGCACUUCCAGAUGCCUACCUUCUGCCUUUUCUCCCCCAGCAUGCAAGAUUAAAACCAAUGAAGUAUUAAAAUAAGCGUCAUAUUCACUAAGAAUAAGACAGCAUAGAGUCUCAUCAUUUCUUUGAUCAUUCCGUUUUUAGUGUGGAGAUUCGAAUGUUUUUCUUACAAGUUGGGAUCCUCGAACCAACGUGGCCUCCAUGAUGCCCAUGAAAACAUUUGUGCAACAAGUAAAGAUGAUUUAAGAAUCAUAAUUUGGUAUGUUGCUUUAAUGUUUGGUCCAAUCACUCACCUUCCACCCUCUGGAGUGUGGUAGAUAGUUGCACUUGUAUAGUAACAGCAGGUGCAAAGUUAAGUGAAGGCCGUGAGGAAGGCCCCCUUUACUGUUUGGAAACCUUCUUUUCAUCGCAAAUGAUGUGACAGGAGUUAUUUUCCUUUUUGAUCAUUGUCCGCAUGUAAAGGAUGCUUUCCAUAAUCCAGUUAUAAUCAUAUAAAAAGCACCUUUAAGACUAUUACAAACCAUAUUUAUUUCAAGAGGAGACCUCUUGCUUAAAGUAUCUCACCAUUUCAUGACUUACAAGUAUGAACAAAGGUGCGUAGGAAGCUUCUUAUGGCCUUUCGGGAAUCAAGUAAGCUGAUUAGAAGAAGCCUUGCAUUCCACACUUCCUUCAAUAUAUUCGUGCAAGUAUGCGCACAUAUUCUUCCUUUUUCUUGUUCUUAAUCAUGAGCUGGGGUUGGUAUUAUUCCUUGUUAAGUUCUGUUUCGUAAAACCAUCUGCCUCAGACCACAGAUACAUGCGGACGGGUAUUACUAGAUUGAUGCAUGGGGUGUUAUCUUCUGGGUAACUACAGCAUUCUUUUGGGCCAUCCUAAUAUACUCCUCGUGUUCUUUUAUUCCUUUCUAUUUGAGUGACAAAUUGCACAGAAUCACCAAAGUGCAAGCACCCCCAAAUCAAGGGUAUCAUUCGUCUUUCCAGUAAAGGAGUGAGAUGGUUCUAUUUAAUUUGUGAUUCUGAAGUGCAAGAACCCAAAUCAAGUANNNNNNNNNNNNNNCUUUCCAGUGAAGGGAUGAAAUGGUUCCAUUUUUUAAUUUAUGAUUAACAAGGGACCACCAAUGGAAUUUUUCAUUUAACCAAUUCUUCGAACUCAUCCAAAUGUUGAGCAGAGAGAGAGAGAGAGAGAGAGAGUUGGAUCCCCGAAGAAUUAAUAAGGGACUGAGGGGGCCAGAUGUUCUUCUGGUAAUCAUUGUUUUGGUGAUGCUGAUCGAUGGGUCAAUGUGACUCGAUCAAAUUCUUCCAGAAGCCACAUCUUUAACUCCAUCAUCUCUCACUAAUAAUUGAAUCAUUUAAUAUUAGCAGGCUAAGUUACCUAGUUUUGCCAAGAUAAGAGGCUGUGGUCGGAUGCGCAGCUCUAAUAUAGUCUGCUCACUUCUGCUUAACGAGUCAUUUGGCGUUUCCUUUGGUGCACAUGAUUGAGUUCUUUAAUUUAAGCUUUCCUCUUGUCACCCUCAAACACAG
rnacentral:lncRNA from 1 species